AUCCCACACUCCUAAUCAUAUGAACUAAAAUGUUGCACAUUCAAUCUUUGGAAGAUAUAUAUAAACAUAAGUAUAGAUAAAUUAUCUUUCCAUUAGGUUGAGCGAUCUGAUGUGACAAAUGUUUUAAAUGCUACACGCAUGAUCUUAUUAUCCAUCAACUUUGUCUUGCUCACUAUGCUUAAGGUUAGAGUUGAACAAAUACACUUUUGGUUCUGUUGGUGUUUUUCACCAACAGGGCCCAUGCACUUGAUCUCUGCCUUGUCUCUAUGAGCAGGUACACUUCGAGCAAAAUAUGAAGGAGUUUUACAACUCCCAGACUCCACCAAGUGAAGAACCUAGAUCUACGAGCACAAACACACUAGAGAUACUGGACACUCAGGCAAUCACUGCCCUGAGAUGCUUGAGGACGUAACUACUGGAGUAACCCCAUUGUGGAAGUAAUUACUGACCUUCUGCCGGUCAAGAGAGACAAUCUAGGACGCCCCGUCAUCCCGAUCUCCAUCGGCAUGGUGGUCUUCCCAGAAGCACUCUGCGACUUUGGCUCCAGUGUCAACAUUAUACCUAGGGGAAGCCAUUCCUGAACACCUCGGGAGCUGUCAUCUACGCUAGUGCUGCCAAGAUCAGUUUCUACAUCAAGGGGAAGAAAGAGACGUUUUCCUUCAAGAAAAAGACUACACAAAUCUUAGAGCAAUCCUGACAUGAACCAAGGAAGGACCAACAGGAGGAACAGGAACAAGCAAAUGUGGACCGAGUCAGCUAAGAUGGUCACUACAGUUCAAGGAGGUCAAGAUCGUCGACAUAAGUCACCGUUCCGGACCAAAAAGGACGACCCAGUCACCUAUCAGCUCCUGUUCAGAACCAUGCCCUUAAAACCGACAUACACCCAGCUCCAGAUGGCAGAUCAAACAUUUCGAAAGGUUGAAGGUUAUUGACAUGGGAGAAGACGAGCACGAUCCACCCAUCAUCCUUGGAAGACCGUUCCUCAGCACUGUUAAAGCAAUCAUCUAGAUUGGAACCAGAGAAGUCCACAUGCACUUCCCCGCUAACAAGGUACGCCGCUAUUUUACUGACCUUAAUUAUAUAGUUGAAGACUCUAAGCAGGUCAGGACAAGAAGAAGACGACAAAACCGUAACCAGAGAAGGCAAAAUUAUCAAGGACGGAUGGGUAGACUAUGAAGGAGAAGUUGUAAGGUCUGAAGACAUACAGAUUGAACAGAACUGUCCUGAGGAGACCGUAGCACCGAGUCAGGUGUGUAGAGAGAAGAUAGUUAUACACAAAGAGGAGACACCGCCGGAACCACCGACUACGCCAUCCAGCGAAUCCCAGGACGACUGAGAAUACGGAGAGUCCCGUUCGGAGGACUUAAAAACACCGAACGCCUUGCCAAGAGGUAAACUUGGUAGUUAUCUUUUUCCUUUCAAUUAUUUAAAAUAGUUUGCUUAGUUAAUCAGGUUCAUAUCAUCUUGAAAAAAAAUAAAAAUGUUAAAAAUAGUAAGCCCCAUGUGAGUAUGCUCAUGGCAUAAAACCCAAAAGUACAUUCACUGUGGUGGCAUAAAAAUAAAAUAAAUAUAUUCCUGUCCUAUAAAAAUGAAAAUAUAAAAAUAAAUUUAUGAUCCUACCAAAGAGUGUAACAUUUAUUGAGGAGGCUCAAUAUGAUAAAGGCUAGAUAUUUAUGCUAACACUUAACUAGUUCCACCAAGUUUUGUUUCCUAUUUGAGCUCCACAGAAUUCAAGGAUCAAAGAAGACUAGCAGACGGAGGACAUCCUAACCGCUGUCAGGGUGCUGCCGACAUACCUCCGCCACCUGCUAGCUACAUCAGAAGAAAUUACAUCAAAAUCCAGCUUGGGGGAGAGCACCCCCCAUUUAUCCAGCUAAGUAUUCUACUCACGUUUAUACUUUAUUCAAAUAAUAAAAAGAUGCAUAAUCAUAAAAAUCCAAAUAAAGAUUUUGUGCUUAUAUAUAUAUAUAACUUUGCUUAGUUUACUAAAUAAAUAAAUAAAUAAAAUUUGCUAUGAACCCUCAUGAUAAGCUCUCAAAUGGAAAUGAUGAAUAGUUGCUCUACCACGACUAGUUCUCAAAAUUGAAAUCUCUCUCAAGUUUAGGCAUGACUAGUAUUAAUUAAGAUUUGCUCUAAACCUGAACUUGAGGGAAGAAAACUUGAUCUAAAGUCUAAGUCGUUAACGGAUAUGAUAUGGGAAGGUUGAGCUGCUGUUUAUCUGUUCCUAGAGAUGCUAGAAUUCUGAAGAAUUUUAUCUUUGAAAAAUCUUUAAAAUAACACAUGAUGAGUUCCUGUAUGAUGAGAGAUUAAAAUCCUACCACAGCCAUAUAUACAUGCUUGCUGGACUUUGAGCCACAUAUUUACUUUUUACUGCUUAUGAGAAUUGAGUGUGGUCAAGCUGUGUAGACCCUUAGGAGCUUGUCAUGUGGUUAAAAUCAAGAUUCACUUGCACGUUCACUCAUACAUGCUACUUCUACUCCGGAAGUACCAUCCACAUAUAUCCACCCAUUUCCAUCUCCAGAUUCACCCAAAAAUAUUCUACUCCUAAUCCGGGAGAGAAUAGCCAAAAACAUUCUCCUAUUUCUGUUUUUCCCUAUGAAAAAAAUGCUCAAGUUAUCUUGGUUACUACCACUUGCUAUAUUAUUUCAGGAGAUGAGUGCUCUAAAAAAAAGAAGAAAGAAAAAAAAGAAAGAAUGCGAGGAAAUAAAAAGGGGCAAGUGCCCGGAACCUCGAAAGAAAGAAAAAGUGAGACGAGAGGUAAAAAUGGACAAGUGUCCGACAGUAGAAUUAGGGGUACAAGAUACCCACCUGAGAGAAGAAAAAGAAAAAAAAUAUAUAGAGCAUCUCAUUCUCCUCAAAAAGUUUCAAAAGAGCAAGAAAGGUAUGUAUCCCUUCAAAAGAGCACAAGUAGAAUUAGAGUUUCACCAUUGUUAUCACUAUCAUUACCAUGCACCAUUCAUUCGCCACACAUGCACAUCUUGAUUUGACUUAUUGACUUGUUCUUUUGGAUCCAUGGUUUGACUAUGCAAUAAAUGUCUUGUAAGUAUGUAUUAGCUGUCUCCCACCUAUGAGCUCCAGAUAUCAAAACCUUAUUAGAGUAGGGUGAGAGAGAAGGCAAUACCACUAUGCCUCAUACCAAAAAUACCACAUACUUUAAGAGAAGGCAUACACCAUUACUGCCUUGGUAAGGAUCCAGAAAUACCACAAAAGAGGGACUAGAGAGUCAUACAAGGAAUCUCUGAGUUUUAUUUGAAAAUCUGCAAAAAACUCUAGAGCUAUAGUUAAUCGAAGAACAAGAGACAUGGUGCUUGACUAGACUGUUCUAUCUUUUAACUACUCAAAACAGAAGUGACGGUUACAAGUCCCAUGGUGAAAGGUAAAUGAGUAAGUUUUAAGUCUUAACAGUUUACUCUAACCAGAGAUGAGAUCUUGUUUAAAUGCAUGUGUAUCUUUAAGUUAUGAAACCACUGCAGAAACUCUUGAGUCCAUCUUUGCUCAGGGACGAGCAAAGGUUAAGCUUGGGGGAGCUUGUCGACGGUCCUUAAUGCUCACAUUUAACCAUCAACUAAUCAUGGAAAAUGAUCUAAAUGGAACCAACACCUAGACUUAGGGUUUUAUCUGACAGAAUUCCACGAGUUUUGGUGUUUAUCUAUUUCUGUAGGGGGUUAUCAGGAAAUAAGGAAGAAAGGCCCACACGUCGGGUUUACAUAGAGAUAUUAACGUGCCGCGCAAUUUUCUACCAUCUAGAAGACUCCAGAAGCCACGGGAACGAACGGGAGACGUAACGGAGCCGGGCACUGGGCGCCCGCCCUCCCUUACUGGGCGCCCGCCCUCCCCCUGGACCAAACAGAGUCCAAUUCGGGGACAACACUCCACCGACCUAAUACUUCAAGGAAAACCACACGAUCAAUGUCGGUUUGAUCCGACGGCCCAGAUUCACUUGAAGGGACUAUAAAACCAGACCCCUCUGGCCCCUGGAGAUCAUACCUCUUCUACAGAAUCAAAGCUAGGGUUUCAAUUCUUCAUCCAAGUAGAGAGGAUCCCUCUAGUUCUUCUAGUUCUACCUCUAGUUCAUCUAGAUCUAGUUCUAGUUCAUCUAGUUCUAGUUCUAGUUCCUCUAGUUCUAGUUCUAGUUAGUUCUAGUUGUAAUCUAGAAAAUAGGGAGAGAGAAGAGGAGAGCGGAGGAGGAGCCGGAUCUGUCGGAUCUUCCUCAACAUUGUACUUUUGCAGCAUCUGGUUCGUUCUUCAUUGUUCUCCUGGUUCUUCAAUUCAUAAUUCCUGAGUUCUUUAAUUACUUUUAUUUACAUUCAAGUUAUUUAUUGGAUUCCCGCUUGCAUCAAGUGCUCUAGUCUUUAUAACGCUAGAGUAGUAAUUAAUAGAUUAGACGUGGUGUUUAGUCUUGCAAUUACCUGGAAUUGCACCCAAUCCUGCGGAUUGUUGUGGUAGCCUUAGGGUAGUGACAGCCCUAAUGGUCGACGUAUUCCACCACGUUCGGAUCGGUGUUUGUAGGACCGUAGUCAGACCUUCCUAGCCCUCUUCUCAUCUCUUUCUGUGGUUAGUGCUCUGAUGUCCCGAUAUAGAUAAUCUUGAAGUAAUUCUUGAUUCUUAGAUCAACUAGAGAACUCUCAGGAAACUUCCUCUCUUCCCACCAAAAAUAUUCAUAUAGUUAUCCUUGGGCGAUCUUGGAUCUUAAUUAGUACACUCACGUUCUCUGUGGAAAAUCGAUACUCUGGAAUACUCCCGGGUGAAGGCUACAUCGGUAUCCGUGCGCUUGCGGAUUUUUCUGUUUGCGUUUAAAAUACCCAACAGCGUACCUAUAGAAAACUCAUUUCAGCCCAACCACAUAUGAAUAUGCAGAAUAAAAAAUUAAAACUAUGCACUCCACACACAUAGGUACUGCACCUAUGUAUGUGAUGUGCCACUACCCACAUCAUCGCCCUAGUGACGGCAUCGCCUCUCAGGACGAAAUCUCUCAACAUGCGGUACUAUUCCUAGGCACACUGGAUAUGCGUGCAUGACACAACACCCUAAAGCACUUCCCUAGACCGGCAGUGUAUCCGAUCAUGCUCUCACAGCUCCCACUUACCGAGGCAUAGGGGAAAAGUGAUCCAUACAUUACCACUCAAAUGAAUGGCACUCAUACUAUUACACGCCGUAUGAGCGACGAAACAGAAAUAUGAUGCAUAACCCCCAAGUCAGUACUUAACUAGCCACCUUAGAGUCCUUAACUGGGCAUAAAGGAUAUGACCAAUGGCACACUGUGUAGUUUUCCAAAAACUCGUUUUAACACCUUGAUUACCAUUGAUAGAUAGUUAACUUUGAUUAACCGGUUUAAGUUUGUUUUAGAACGUACUUAUGAACAGUAAUCCGCUGAACCUUGCUCCGAUGCCAGCUGUAACAGAACCACCCAAAUUAUAAGAGAUUAAGCCUAAAAGUGACCAUUUGCACAGUCGAACCAUCAAGCUCAAACCCAUAUAAUUCUGGUAGUCCGUGAAAUCUUGAAGGAUUUCGAACCACUACUUAUACAUACAGCUAAGAUCAUAAUAAGUCUAGCGGUCACCAUCCACACUUACAUUCAGCUCACAAGUUCAAGAGUACAUCAGAGUUCAAAUAAAGUUAUUACAAAACCAAUUUCAGUAGUAGCGGAAGCAUCAUAGUUUUAAAAUAACACACACUUAGUCUGAUAUAGUGCCAUAGUUUGAUCAUUCCCACAACAGCAAAAGAAGAGGUAGAGUGACUAUCACCCUUGGUCUAGUCAUCACCCAUUGCUGGGUACAAGCAGUGAAUCCAAUACCCAUAGUACAUCUGACCAUCUGCAAAACAACAUGGGAAUGGAACCUUGAGUAUGAGAAUGUACUCAGCUAGACUUACCUGUCAUAAACCAAAAUAUAAAAGACUCUUCAAGGAUCAUGAAAGUUGUAUAGUGGGGAGGCUGAAACCUUUUUGCGUAAAAGCCUCAACCAUCUAGAGUAUAUCUUGAUCUCUUCCUUUCCUUUAUUUAGCCCAGGUUAGGUAUUAUUACCUAUCAUCUAGAUUUGCAUCUGCACUAUUACAAACAAUUGUUGUGGCAUGAUAAUACCUUAUCAUAGCAUUCACAAUUUAUCAUUUAACACAACCCAAGUGUUUCAUAGUCUUUACUGCGAGGAUAGGGCUUAUGUCAAGUGCUCACUAUCCAUGAGCGAUGGCGACUCGAAUCGAUUUUUGACCAGCUGGCGAGUUAUUCCCCACACAAACCACACUCACUGAUCAAGUGAGCUACAGAUCACCAUAUUACACUAACCAGGACCAAUUCGUGGGUUCGGCAGGCAUCGCCAGUACCCGAGGACCGUUCCGACGACCGAGGUAUCCAAGGUAUACCAAGGUUGCGCGUCGCGCCCUCGUCGUUCUCCUCAACAAUCACCAAUACAGCGCAUGGCGGCUCGACUCCCGGCCCGGAUAGUGUUCAGGCUUCACGGUCGGAACGACUUAUCCUUCCAACUAAGUGUGGGGCAUGCGUUCAACAUGACAAGAGGGCCGUCAACGAUCGGUCCUUACUCAACACAGGCAGGGGCACUACGGUUAACACCACCAUAAGACCCUGUCCAGUCUCAAAUUCUUUUCCCACACUUGGUUGUCCUUUCACCAUAGCAUUAACAGCUAAUAAUCAGGUAUCCACCUAAAUCUCGCAGGUGAUAGGAAAUCACCCGACUUCUACCGCACUAAGCAAGCUAAACAUAGACUCCGAGCCUAUCUACAUAGGACAAGGUAGAUAAACAAGUGGUGAUAUCAAGGAGUAAGUAUGCAUCAACGGUGUCAAGCAACUCCUUUCACUUAAAUGCAGCAUAGUAAAACAAACAUGAUAUAACAAGUUAAGUUAGCGAGAAUAGGGAGAAUUAGAAUGCUCUGGGGCUUGCCUCUCUCGAAGGUGCUAGGCCUGUGGUCCGGGCAGUCCUGCAGAUCUUCUUCCGGCUCUGGUCCUCCCAGAAGUUACUGCUCCGGGGUCUCUUCCUACUCCUCGGGUCCCACCUCGUUCUCCUGCGAGCCUGUAUGAUGCAUGUGUGCUCAUGAGUGGAGUGCAAGAUGCCCGAGGUGCAAUGUUGAUGCAAACUAAGACAAGAUGCUCAUGAUAUGGUGCAUAGAUAAAACAAGAAACUAUUUCUACAAGGUAGUCAACAUCUUCCAAGAACAUGUAACCAAAGUAAAGCAUUUAUUGCAUUCUCUUCUACCAGUUAUUACUAACCAGCAAGCUACUAUGGUGCUUCAAAGAUACACCAAACACCAUUUAUUUUAUUCAUCUCAUGCAUAACAAGGUCUUAUUUAUUUAAUUAUUAUUAGGCCUACAAUAGUAACAUAUAUCUCUGCUCAUCAAUAAAUUCUACAAAAAUUACAGUAGGUCACUGGAUAUUUAUAAAGUCUACCACUAAUUUUUCAUAAUUUUUUGACAGAUAAUAUGGCCUACACAAAAAACACAAGUUCACCCUCAUAAUUAGGUGUAAAUACCCUACUGGUGAUAAAGUGUCAAACAACAGAUUUCAUAAUUUUAUAGAUUACUUACUAACAUAAGAAAUGUCCACAAAAAUUUUUAGAUUAAUUGCAUCAUCCAAUUAUUUAUUAAAAAUCAUAAACCAUUGCCAUGUAAGCAUUUAAAUCAUCAUAAAUUAAUUUAUACAGCAAAUAUUGUGUCACAUUUUUUUCCCAGAGACUAAACAUCCAUGCAAAGCUAGCAAAACAAGAAUUGUAUUUUUCUGAGUUGUAUUCUAUUUACUAUGCAUUUUCAAAAUAUCAGCAAAAACAUAGAAUAAUUAUAUUUAUACAGAAAAGUUGUACAAACAUGACAUGCAUUUACACCAAGUUAUAGAUAUGGAUUUUUAGAACACACCAAACUUUAUUUCAUCAUUUUUGGAGCGGUAGAACUCAAGUUAUGAAAUAAACAAGAUUUAAAUGGAUUUCUGAAAACCUUUAUUUAAGAAAACCGAGGGGAAAACGCUAGAUUUACCCAGAUCCACACCCGCAGAGACGCUGACAGGCGGGACCCGAGGUUCGUGGCCCUACUGGUCAGCCUAGCCGCACUCCGGCGGCCUUCGACCGGCCGGCUCUCGCCGACGGUGAGGUUUCCGGUGGCGCGGCCGUCACCUACGGCUUCGUCUCGGCGAGAUGAACACGUUGCGCUAACUUACGUCGCCGGAGGAGGUCCCUAGUGGCGGGAAUGGCGCAUGGCGGAGCUCGGUGGCGCUGCUCACCGGUGUUCGGCCGUCUCCAGCCGAGAGAGCGCGAACGGAGAGGCGCAGAGGGUUCGCGGCAGUGCGGUGACCAAAACACGCUCGCUACCGGGGAGAAAGAGGGUCGGGAAGGGAGAGAUUCGCGCAGACCGAGAGCUCGACAGAGCUGCAGCCAUGGCACGGCGAUGGAAUCUAGCCCAAUACCUUGACGCGGGCGGCCGAGAGUGAGCGCACAAGGUAGAGCUCGUCGAGGCGGAGCUGGGGGCGGUUUCAAUCGGAUGUGAGCGGCCGGGAUGGCGAGCUCAGCUGCACCGCCAAUGGCGCACGGCGGAGCACCGCCGCGGUUGCUGCUGCGCUCGUGAGUGGAGAAGAAGGGGAAGUGGGGAGGGGACAGAAUGGAGGCGGUCUGGGGGAGCAGGGCGGCGUCUCGGCCAGAAGGCGUGGUCGGACGGCCGUGGACCCCCGUCGCCGGUGUACGGCUGCCACGUGGUGGCCGUCGGCGGGGGAGAGGCGGGCGCGUCCGCGCGCGGGGAGGAGGAGGGGAAAACGGGCCACGCGGGCGAGCAGGCCGAAAUGGAGGCAGCCGGCGCAGCAGCGCCUGCCCCAUUUUCUCUUCUUUUUUUUGAAUUUCUUUUUCCCAAGGAGCUUAAAUGUGGAUUUUGAAGCUUUUGCAAAGUGUUUCAGCAUUUGGGGUAAAAUGAAAAUGUUCCCCACAAAAUACCCUACAACUUUGCUUCAAAGUGCAAGUCUAAAUUCCAAACAGAAUUUGAACUACAAAUCAAAACUAGUUAUAGGUUUUUAAUUAUACUCAUUUAGGCAAUUUUGUAAAAAAUUCAUUUCUCAAAUUCCAGGGCUCCAAAAAUGUCACAAAAUUGUUCUUAAUUCUUUUAAAACAUAGUUCAACUUAUUUUGGUCAUCACAAGCAAAUCUAAAGCAAGCAUACAAAUUUAUUAUAUUUAAUUCAUUUAAAUCAAUCACAUAAAAUCACAAUUUACAAGCUACUAUGCUUAUGUGAUGCUAUGGUCAUGCUAUGCUUGAUGAGGAUGCUUAUGAGUGAGCUUAUGAAAUUAAGUGCAUGCUUAACACCUAGGGUGUUACAACUGUUAUACCUAAUUUUAUGGAUAUAUUAUAGUCAUGAGCUUCACUCUUCUUGAAAGAUGCAUUUUAUUAAGAUGUCACUGUCGCCCUAGUGGUGCAUGUGUCCUUUUAACUAUGGUGUACGUGUACCCUUUGGCUAGAUGGACAUGGUCUCUUCUAUAGCCUCACUAUCUAGCGGGUCAUCCUCUUCAUCCAGGAUCUGCGAGGUGGAGCCUGAUUGGUGGAGAGGCUUGGGUGGCCGGCCCUACACCUAGGCGCCCGCCCAUGGCCUAGGGUAGGUGGGCCCCAACUUGCAUGGGGUGGCUUCCUCAGUCUUCUAGAUUGUUCUUGAGUUGUAGUUCGCGUAUUCUCUCUAUAUAAAUCUGACAUGUGGAUCAUCUUGGAUUGUUUUCAGCUAACACCCUAUAGAAAAAGAUAUUCACCAAAACUCGUGGAAUUCUGUUAGUGAUAACCCUAUAUCUACUAGGUGCUUGCAAAUAGGUCAAUUUUCAUGUUUAGUUGACAGUUAAAUUAGGAGUUAUCUACCGUCAACAUGGAGCGAUGAGGAAGAACUUGGUUGAAUCAUCUAGAGGAGUUGGCCUUUCUUCUUCAUGUCUCAGCUUCUCAACCUCAGAGGUGAGAGUAUAGAAUGUUACAUGCUUUUCUCUUGUCAAUAUUUUCUUGAUUCCUGAUAAUUAGUGGUUAACAAGAGAAUGCAUCUCCAUGGAGUGAGUGCUUUGAUCAUAGAUCAUAUUUUGCGGCAUCCUUCUUUCUCAUUGGCUACGAGUGAGUUGUAUCUCCCUUGUGCAAAAUUAUUGUGUCUCUCUUCAUAUGCAAUGUGAGUUCAUCUCAGGACUUUCCUAUUCUGAAUUUGGUAUUAAAAGUUUUCCUGCAAAGGUUAGUCGAACAAAAUAUCCAAUAUCUACUAUAGCAUACUAUCAGCUCAAAAAUCAACCUAGACACCAUGUCUAAUUUGAUUCAAGAAGGCAUUUUAACCAUGUGUAAUUAAAAGCCUUUGAGAGUAAGAUCACUACUCCUAAACAAGGCACCAAGCUUCAUUUAAGAGAUGCAUGAAACUACUCCAAACCUAAAUAUAUACUAUAGCAAACAAAAGUAACAUGAAUGCAUUAUAGAUGUUUACUCAAAUAGUGAUGAAAGAGCAUGAUUUUUGUUUAGCAAAUUGAGCAUAUCUUAAAGGUAGGGACAACCAAGAUGAUAUAGCAACAUGGCAAGAGAUGUAUCUAUGGAAACAUAUACCCCAAGCUUGACUUUUGCAAAAAUCAAGAUUGGUUGAAAGUAAUUCAGUGUUGCAUAAUGAUUGGUUGGACAUACCUUGCAUUUGUCACUCCUUCGAUCUUUGCUCCAAACAUGGUAAGGUUAGUGACAAAAAUACCCAAAAGAAUAUUUUCACAAUUAUAAUUCUAUGCUCAAUUAACAAGGGUAGCACAACAGAAAGGUGAACACUAAUGUCAUGGUCUAAACUAUGCUUGUUUUUAGGACACUAAGCUUGUCCUUGCGAAACCUUCAAGAUGUGGUUUGGUGAAGUGGUUUCCCUUCCAACACCAAUCUAAGUGCAUUACUCUCAAGAUUCACCACAAUGAGAUCUACAAUAUUUAUGAUAAGCAUAUAUGUCUACAACCACCCUUUCAAAACUUUAGGAAUAGAGAGCAUGAGGGGGUUGAAGAUCUCAUGUGGGGUAAUGUUAGAGAGACAAAUCUCUAAGUGAAUCAGGAGAUUUUUCAUAUGAGCAAGGAACUAAUGGGGUGUUAAUGUAGUAGCCUCCUUGAUCAUUGAAGUCUCCAUCAUUUUCUACUUCCAAGGGUGACUCGACAUAUAUGUCCAAAGAUUCCCUUGGGUCAUCUCUUGAAUUGAUCUUAUCUAAGGCCUUGUCUAUCAAUUCAAUGGCAAUAGCACAUAUGGUCUUGAUAAUUCCUAUGCAUGGGAUAUCUAGAUGGAUUUCUAGGAUCAUUAGGAGGUUUAGGAGAAAGAGCAUAGAACAAGCCAUAGUGGUCAAGGAUGGGUUUAGAGAUGGGUUCAUAUUCUAUAUCUAAUGUCGGCAUAGAAGGGUGUUGACGGUCCUUAAGUAUCAAAUAUAAUCAUCAAAUAAAUAAAGAAAAGGAUCCAAAUGCGAUCAACACCCAGACUUAGGGUUUUAUCUGAAAGAAUUCCAUGAGUUUUGGUGUUUGUCUAUUUCUACAGGGGGGUUAUCAGAGAAUAUGGAGGAAAGGUCCACACGUCGGGUUUACAUAGAGAUAUUAACAUGCAGCGCAAUUAUCCAACAUCUAGAAGAGUCCAAAAGCCACGGGAACGAGCGGGAGACCGAGCGGGCCCGGGGGCUGGGCGCCUGCCCUCCCCCCUUGGGUGCCCGCCCAAGGCUCUCAGCCAAUCAGGCUCCGUCUCACGGAUAAUGCUCCACCGACCUAAAGGAUUAAGGAAAACCAUGCGAUUAAGGUCGGUUUGAUCCGACGGCCCAUAUUCAUUUUGAGGGGCUAUAUAAGCAGGCCCCCUGGCCCUUGGAGGACUCAUUCUCAUUCCUCAAACCCUAAUUCAUUCAUCAGGAGGAGAGUCUCUGAUCAAGCCCUAGAGCCACCACAUCAACUAGAUCUCUAGUUUAGCAUAGCUACAUAGGAUUAGAACUAGAAGGAGUUAAUCUUCGAUUGGUUUCCGGAUAUGUCAAGAGGAUUCUUGGUACUUCCUCUGCUAUUCUUCAUUUGUUCAUCAUUGUUAUUCAAUGUUAUGAAUACAACUUUGUUCUAUUUCAAUAUAUUGAUUAUGACUUUGCUCUACUUGUUUAUAUUUGCAAUUAUAUCGUUCUUAGUUUAUCAUAGUUAUAUGCUUGGCUUAGUUAGGUUGGAAUUAUAUACAUGUUUAGGAUCAUAUAGCAUUUAUCCAUCGGAUCCAUGGGUAAAUGAUAUAUAUUGUGUAGGUGUGGUGCCUAUACCGUAUUUAUCUGCGAGUGUACCCUAUAUGCCGGAUCGCGGGGUAGUUCGUGGUGGUGACAGCUCCAUUGAUUCUUAUAUAGUCCCCCUCUCAUGUAUAGGGCAGGCAGAGCAACAUUAUUACAGGGGAGUGAUUGCUAUGUUUCUCAUCUUCCUUGAUAAUAUCACUCUGCAUAGGCGUAGCCCUUUCUCGCAAUGAUUGCCAAGUAUAAUUGCACUAACUAUGAUAUGCUAGACUUUAUAGUUAAGAAUAACUUAGGAAAUAUUCUUGUAGUUCAUCCUAAUCCCAUGCUAAUGACUUGCUAGAAUAUCUGUUGAGGUGCUUAUCAUUAUUAUAUGUGGCUAGUUAUGCUGAUCAGAUUAGUUAUCUUUGUCACCAUUCGUACUUUAUCUAUAUUUUAUGUGACAUUUAUCCCUGUAUGCAAGAGAUAGAUGAAUACUCUCUAUUACACAUGCAAUGAUAGAUACUCAGUUCCAUAUUUCAUUCCAUAAUCAACACUGAUGUUAGUAAUCCCUUCCCAGUGGUAAAAAUAUAAAUAACGAUACUUGGAAUACUUCCCGGUUAAAAUGCUACUUCGGUAUUAAUCUGUGCGCUUACAGAUCUCAUUUAUUAUUUAUACAGAAGAGCAAUUGCAUAUUUCAAUACCGCGUCUCUCAUGUCAUGCUGGGGAUGACAACUUGGCUUAAGUGGCAUGAGGGAUAGGUUUGGCAUUUUUUGGCGCCGUUAUCAGAAAUAGAAAACUAAGUCUACUUUUGGUAAUGACGUUAAGAAUGCCCAACAAGCAUUUUUGGCGCCGUUGUCGGGGAUAGAGAACUAAGUCUACUUUUGGUAAUGACGUUAAGAAUGCCCAACAAGCAUUUUUGACGCCUGUGGGGGUAUAAACCCCUAUACCCUCAUGGGCCGAUAUGGGCCGCACCAUCAGAGGUGGCUCGGCCCACAAGAUGAAGACGUGCGGCGCAUGACGCUGGUCGACGUGCACCGCAAGGCUACAAGAUAUUGUACCAAAUAGGAUAGUUUACUUGCAACUCUGUCCCUUCACGAUAUAUAAGGUGGGGUAGGGGUCCCCUAGAGGACAGAUCAUACACAUCGAAUCUCAACUCAACACAAUCCAAUACAAUCAGACGAAGGACGUAGGUAUUACGCCCACACGGCGGCUGAACCUGGAUAAAAACCUUGUCUGUGUCUUGCGUCACCAUCAAGUUCGUAGCUUGCGCACCGUCUACCGAUAAACUACUACCGUGGUAUACCCUAAGGUAGACUGUCGACUAGCUUUCGUCGACAGUGGCGCGCCAGAUAGGGGGCGUGCGUACAGCUCUCCCGACGAACAAGAUGGUCAUCGUUCCAGCUUCCGCGGCCGUGGCUGAAGGUCUCACGUUCACCAUCGGACAGAUCACUUGGACAACUCGUGAUGGCGGCCUUACGACCAUGACUUUGGGAGAAACCCAGAUUCAAUCUAGGACAGUAGAGGCGUCGACUCCGAUCACGCCAACCCCGAGGACCCGACCUCCACUCCCUCGCUACAGGGCAAAGCGAGUCGACAACUCGGAUCUUCUUCAAGCCCUCGAUCGCGCCGACCACAAGCUUCUCGAAGCCUCCAACCUGGUGGAUUCGAUUUCGCCCAGAAUCAUGCAAGCCAACAACAAACAAAUAAAGGGAAUACAUGGUCGGCACCGCUAUGCAAUACAGACUAGGCAUGCAAUCGUGAUGUCCUCGUCGCCCUUGAGAUUUAGUACCGGCUGGUAGGCUACACGCGGGAGUUUCUAGGCUUGCAGACAACGACGACGCCCUCCGACUACAUAAGGCCAUCCGAGUCGCCGAGCUGCCAGUGGGCCAUGUCGAGCCAUCAAGCGAGCCGCUGAGUGGGCCACGUCGAGCCGUCAAGCGAGCCGUAACGAGCCAUCAAGCGAGUCGCUAAACAAGCCACGUUGAAGCAUUCACGUAACCGUCGAGCCAGCCAUCUAAAUCACAUCUAUCUCCUCGGAUAUCAUGACUCGCCGGCUCCUCUACUUUACUCGGCAUCGAUCAAGGCUCAUGAUAGGACUCCGUCACUACGAGCGAUGGACCGUGGUCACGAUCAUGUAUGAAGGGUGUAUGAUCUACGAUGCUAUACAUACGGGAGUAUAUACAUAUAUCCACAUCAGCAUGCAUGCACAGAGAUCGCAAGCACAAACAUGCAUAGUCGUUGACCUGUUGACAAUCGUCUACGACUCUGACACAUACAUGUCCAAGAUGUCAAGCAAACUGAUGAGCUCUGUCUAAAGCUGAACGAGCGAGCUGCUCGGCCUACUUGCUCAGACCACAGUCGCGUUGCAAUGAUAAUCACCGUGAAGAAUGGCGCUACGACAACUGCGACUACCGUUACGACAACACGUCGAAAAACGAGGACCAGAUAAUUUUAUCGCCACCGACCAGACUUUCGUCUAAAGAUAAGUGUACUUCUAAUAUUUUAUUUAAUUUUGGCAUAAUAUUUUUUAUUAUCCUUCAAAACAACUUUUUGGUUAGCCGACUAGUUUUUUCUCCUACACGAGUUUUCCAGAGCCGGUACUGUCUCCGACUCCUCCCUACAUGUGCAUGAGAUCCGCCCUCUGCGUUCCAGGUGGUCGGCAGUAGCUCUCUGGCGAGGCUGGCAAUUCCACGCGUGUCUAGGUUCCACACCUCAUGCUGAUUGUUGGUUAGACCAGAGCUGGUACAAGCUCUAGGAUGAACUAACUACUCGUGCUAAUUUUAUAACAAAAAAUCUAAAACUUAUCUCAAUGCUGAUUUUUAUCUAGAGUUUAUUUAUACAUCAUGUACUACCUAUUCUCUAUAUUUAUUUUUCAGGAGUUUGGCCCAGUCAACAAGCUACGCUCGGGGACUCGUCGACUAUUCCCUACGCUAUGCUCGGGGACUGCUCCGACCACCGAGCAUAUUUACGUUCCUAACCACACUCGGGGACUUGUCGACUAGUCUCUAAGCUGUGCUCGAAGACUGUGCUGACCACCGAGCACGUUUACGUUCCUAACCACGCUUGGGGACUUGUCCACCAGUCCCUACGCCGUGCUCGGGGACUGUGCCGACCACCAAGCACGUUUACGUUCCCGACUAUGUUCGGGGACUGGUCGACCAGUCUCUAUGCCGUGCUCGGGGAUUGUGCUGACCACCGAGCACGAUUACAUUCCCAACCGUGCUCGGGAACUCAUCAAUCACUCCCUGCGCUGUACUCGGGACUUACUUUGAUUACUCUCCAACUACAAUUUGGGGAUUGCUUUUCCCAGUUACAUAUGAAGUGGACUGGAUAAUUUUAAUUUUUUAGACCUUGCUACAAGGCUCAUACUUCGCAUUUCAGCAAGCUCGGGGACUACAUCGGUACGAUGCAUCUGGCGAUGCAUCUCAGUUUUAGAAUUUCUAUGAAGACUUUUUUAACCCUGGCACCACGUGCCUACGUCACCUACUACCAGGCUCAGGGACUAAGUGGGCACACUUCACCUUGCGGUGAACAUGCUUGCUUUUUGAAAGUCUGUACUUUUCAGAAAAGUAAAGUGGAUACACUUCACCAGGAAUGAAAUCUUUUUUGAUUAAGAGCACCAUACAUUCUUCGAACAACCUGCUUGUUCGAUGUCAAUGUUGAUCAACUAUCUUUUGAGUUGGUUAAAAUACCGUUGCAACUGUUUGGGCGACUUUCCUGCUUAUUGAAGACGUCAAGCCUCAUUGGUCGAAGAAGCUCAAGACGACGUGUUACAUCACAAUACAUGGUGCUCGGGGACUAGCUGUGGGGGUAUAAACCCCUAUACCCUCAUGGGCCGAUAUGGGCCGCACCAUCAGAGGUGGCUCAGCCCACAAGAUGAAGACGUGCAGCGCAUGACGCUGGUCGACGUGCACCGCAAGGCUACAAGAUAUUGUACCAAAUAGGAUAGUUUACUUGUAACUCUGUCCCUUCACAGAUCAUACACAUCGAAUCUCAACUCAACACAAUCCAAUACAAUCAGACGCAGGACGUAGGUAUUACGCCCACACGGCGGCCGAACCUAGAUAAAAACCUUGUCUGCGUCUUGCGUCACCAUCAAGUUCGUAGCUUGCGCACCGUCUACCGAUAAACUACUACCGUGGGUAUACCCCAAGGUAGACUGCCAACUAGCUUUCGUCGACAGCCCCGUUGCCGGGGAAGGUUGAUUUAUUAACAAGGAAUGAAUACGGAAUUAUGAGUCAUCAUUCGCAUCACUAAUAUGAUUGAGAUCAUCAAAUCUUUCGUAUAGCUUUACCCCUAUACUUUUCUAUUUUUAUUAUUUUAUGCAGAGUGAUGUAUGAAUAGAAUACAUCUUCCAAAAAAUUUUGUUGACGACUGUUGACAGUCCUUAAGUACCAAAUAUAAUCAGCAAAUAAACAAAGAAAAGGAUCCAAAUACAACCAACAUCUAAACUUAGGGUUUUAUCUGAUAGAAUUCCACGAGUUUUGGUGUUUAUCUAUUUCUGCAGGGGGUUAUCAGGAGAUAUGGAGAGAAGGCCCACACGUCGGGUUUACAUAGAGAUAUUAACGUGCCGCGCAAUUUUCUAUCAUCUAGAAGACUCCAGAAGCCACGGGAACGAACGGGAGGCCGAGCGGGCUCAGGGGCAGGGCGCUGCCCACCCCCCUUGGGCGCCCGCCCAGCUACAGAGUCCAAUCAGGACUCUCUUUCAGGAUGAUGUUCCACCGACCUAAAGGAUCAACAAUAACCGUUCAAUCAAUGUCGGUUUGAUCCGACGGCCCAGAUUCACUUGAGGGGACUAUAUAAGCAGACCCCCUGGCCCGUGAAGGAGGCACCUCUUGAUCAUUAUUCAUUAUUCAUAGACAGAGCAAAAGCUAGGGUUUAGAGAUGAGAGCUCUCCUCUCUUCUCUAAACUAGAGUAGAUCUAGAUAGUAGCGAGAUGGAGAGCGAAGGAGGAUUAGAGGAGAGGCCGGCCUGUCGGUUCUUCCUCCAGUUGUACUUUGCCAUGAUCAGGCUCUAAUCAAGCUUGCUCAUGGGAUGACUCUGGUAAUCUACUUUUAAUUCAUUAUGCAAUUACUAAUCAUGUAUGUUCUGGUUCACAACUCUUUUGAGUACUUCUAAUCUAUAGGACCCUAUAGGUUAGAGUUGUAGUAUAGGUGUAAGCAUGGUGCUUAGACCUAGAUUACUUGUGGAUAUCCCCUGUCUAGCUGGAUCAUGUGGUAGGCCGCGUAGGUGGCAGUUACGUUGGUCCUCUGUAGUCCACCUCUCGUUAAGAGGACGGGUAGGGUUUAUCGGCCUAAGGAUAAGCAUCCUUUGUAGUGUAUUCUUAUCACGUGGUUCGUCCCAGACAUAGACAUACCCCUUUGAAGUAGAGAAACCAUAGUUAUCCUCUCUAUUCUGCUAAAAUCGCCCAUAUAUUAGAUUGAUCUACUCUCUAUUCCCAUAUUAUCACUCACUGUUAUCUUACCUUUAAUAUUGUUCUUAUUCGAUUCUACCAUCUUUCCUAUUUACACUUAUUUACUUAUCUUGGUUAAGUUAGAGCGUAGAUCAGUUCUCCCGUUUCCCUGUGGAUACGAUAAAACCUUUAACCGGGUAGAAGCUUCAAUGGUAUCCGUGCGCUUGCGGAUUAUCUGUGUGCGUAUAAAUACCAUAGUACACUCUUGCCAUGUUGGGGAUGACAACCUAGUAUUCAAGUGGUGUUAGCAAGUGUCAACAAGCAUUUUUGGCGCCGUUGCCGGGGAAAUGGUUGCUGAGUUGACUAUGAACUAGCUUAAUCAUUUUCUAAUAUAUAUAUAUAUAUAUAUAUAUAUAUAUAUAUAUAUAUAUAUAUAUAUAUAUAUAUAUAUACUUCUCCUUUUAUCUUUUGCCUUAUCUCUGCUAUUCUUUCUUCUUAUCUAAUCCUUGAUCUUUGGUCUAUCAUGAAUUCAAACAUGUCUAUCUACGAAUUCCAUAGACCUACGGGCACACAUCUCGAACCACCAAAAUCUUCAAAGCCUAUCAUAGCAUCUAGUUUUGAGAUAGACCCCGAAUACAUAGAUUUUGUUCAAAAACAACCUUUCUCAGGAGAAGGUGAGGAAAACCCAUACACCCACCUAAGAGAGUUUUAUCGAGUCUGUGACCUCCUUCGCAUAGAAGACAUGUCCGAUGAGACCCUUAAAUGGAAGCUCUUUCCGUUCUCUUUAAUAGGAAAAGCUAGACAUUGGUACAAACUCAAAGUAGGGAGUGUUCAUGGAGAUUGGAAGGAGUUACAUAAUAGUUUUCUUUUAAAAUAUUUUCCAAUCUCUAAAGUGGCGGAACUUCGGCGUGAGAUUAUUUCUUUUAGACAACUGGAAGAAGAAUCUCUUGGCAAAUCAUGGGACCGCUUUAUUAACCUUACUCUCACUGGCCCAAAGCUUUCUAUUCCACAAGAAGUCCUUCUAAUUUACUUUUUUGAGGGCCUUAGUAUGGAAAAUAAGCAAACCCUUCAUGCGGCCUCUGGAGGAUCUUUCCACCACCUGUCCGCUAGUGAAGCUUGGAAUUUGAUUGAUUUAAUGAGCGGAAAGUCUCCUAGCUUUUAUAUCCCUGAGAAAGAGAAAGAACCAGUUCACAACCACUUCAAUUCCAAACUUUAGCUAUCGAUCCUAAACCAUCAAUACCCCAAAAUUCUCCAAGGGAGGAAGAAAUUCCGACCUUAAAUCUUUUAGAUAUUGAUGGUUUAGACUUCUGGUUCCAUAAGAGACCUUCAAGCAGGGAUAAUCUAAGUCCUUGCAAGCCACGGGAAGAAGGCAGAGGCCGAAAGGGGCCAGGCCCAGGGCGCCCGCCCCCUGUUGGAUUCCGUUCGGGACUCUCUUCGCACACGAUGUCCCACCGACCUAUUGGAUCAAGGAAAACAUAGCACCACCUCGCCUACCGACCCAAAAAUGCAUAGAGGAGGAGGACUAUAUAAGGAGACCCCCUUGGCCCCUGGAGAAGACAAGAAGUUAUCAUAGAGAUUGAGGGGUGCCCUCGAAGGAAAACCUCUUCUCUAAAUAAUAUUUCUUUUUAGGCUUAGCAACCAAUGUAAGUAGAAAUAGAUCUUCUAUUUUCUACUAGAUUGAGAGAGAUAGAGUGGAGGUGUAGAUCGGAGGAAGGCCGGCCUGUCGGUGUCUACUCCGAGUUGUACCUACGGGAUCAAGUCUCCUAACCCGAGGCUUGCUUCUAAGAUUCUUCAGUAAUUCGACUUCUAAUUCUAGUAAGUUCUUGUUUUAUUGUUCUUUGGUUUAUGAGUUUACUUUAAUCCUCUUCCGGUUGAGUAUUAGAGUAAUCACUUGCUAGCGUAAACGUGGUGUUUAGGCUAGGGUACUCAUAGAUAUCCGCUGACUAGCUGGACCGUGGUAGUAGCGAGGAACGUGACAUUUCCGAGUUACCUUUGUAUCCCAUAUCUUGUUAGCAGGACGGGUAGAGUUUAUAGGUGCGGGUCGAACAUCCUUUGUGGUGUCUAGAUUCCGUGAGCCUCCCCAAUAGAACAGUAGAUCAUCCUUACCAAGGUUAGAACGAGACUACGGUUGCAGUCUUCUCUAUACAUCACUCACAUCGAGAAACAUUCUUUGUAGCCUAAAGGAGUAGUAGCAAUAGAUUUGGUUAGUCAGAUGCACCCUUUCUCCCAGUGGUAAAAAUAUAAAUACGAUAACUCUGGAUAACCUCCCGGGUGAAAUGCUCACCGAUAUCCGUGCGCUUGCGGAUCAUUUCCUAAUUGCGUUACCAAAUAUCAACAUAGAACUCUAGCAUCUCUAGGAGCAAGAUUAAUAGCAGCUCAAAACCUUCCCAUAUCAUAUCCAUCAACUACCUAGACUUAGAUCAAGCAUUCCCAACCCAAAAGUUUUAGGCUCAGAGCAAAAUCUUAAGUCUAAACAGUUGUGUCUAAAACUUAGGCGAGUACAAGGUUGAAAACUAGGUACUUGCAAAGAAUUACGGUUGAGCAACUAUGCAUUAUCUUCAUGUAAGAGUUUAUUCCAGAGGUUCAUUUUAACAGAUUCAUUGAGAUCUCUCCAUAGCUAGCAAAAUUAAUUAUGAAAGAUAAAAUAUUUAUUGGGUUAGAAGGUUAUUCAUCUUUUUAUGUUGUCACAACGCACUAGGAAUAAAUAGAUAAGUGAGUAAGGGAUACUUAGCUCAGUAUACGGGGGUUGCUCUCCUCCAAGCUGGAUGUUGACAUAGUCUGCUGAGAUUGCUGAUAGGUAGUGAAGUAGUACUCAUCCUUCUAGAGUGUCAUGGGCAUUUGCUGUUAGAAACAACACUUGUCUGCUCUGAACAUUACUUCGACUGGAGACAGGAUGUCCUUCUUCCUAUUAGUUCUUCUUGAUCCUUUAAAGCCUAUGAAGCUCAAAUAGACAACAAAGCUUGUAGAACUAAUUAAGCAUUAGUAAUAAACCUCUAAGCCUUGAGAGUCUAGAACUUUUUUAUAUCCAUUUAUAUUUUAGCAAGAUCAAUAUAUUUUUAUGCUUUUUAUAUUUAUAGUAUGCAAACAGAAAAAUAAAGAUGCUAAAACUUAUUUUUAUGCCUCCACAGUCGAUUAGUAUGUGAUAUGUAGCAUUAAAUACAUGGGGCUUAGCAUUUUCUAGAUGCAAUGCAAUACAUAUUUAAUUUCUUUUCUAAUGCAGCAAUAAUAAAGAAGCAACUACUAAUGCAAUUAAGAGAAGUAAAUAUGCUAAAGAAAAAUGCAAAUAAAUACCAAGUUACCUCUUAGCACGGCGUUCGGUGAUUUUAAAUCCUCCGAACAUGACCUUCUUGUUCGCCCACUGAUUGAGGGGUGCAUCGGACGGUGCCACAGGUGAUGUGUCCUGUGCAGGAUUUGAUCCUGAGUUUACCUUUGGUUUCCAUACCUACCCUAUAGGUGAUGGUGACUUGGAGGGGAGAGUGUCUGGAUUCACUAACUCUUCUUCUACUGGUACCUCCUCUUUGACGACGUUCUCCUCGUUAGGGUAUCGAUCUUUGUAUCUUGAAACCUCUCCUUCAUAGUUGGCCUAUCUGUCUACAACAUUCUUCUUCUAGUGGUGGGUAUGUCGCCUUCUCCUCGACCUAUUCUUUUUGGGAUCUUUCUCAAUUAUAUAGUUGCUAUUGAAAUAAAGGCGUACCUUUUCUAAGGGGAAUUGGAAAUGGACCUCCCCUGUUCCAAUGUAUAUGAUGGCCUUGGUGGUGUUGAGGAAUGGUCUUCCUAAGAUGAUGGGUGGAUCACAUUCAUCUUCUCCUAUUUCGAUAACUAAGAAGUCAGUGGGAACAUAGUGGUCGUCAAUCUAGACAGGGACGUUUUUGACUAUCCCUUCCACAAAGCGAAAGGACUGGUCCGCCAACUAUAACUACACAUAGGUAGGGUCCAUAGGUAUAGUACCAUAUAGAAAUUCAUAUGUUACCUUGGCCAUUUUGUUGAAGCCCGAUCCGGUGUCACAGACAGUGUUGUAGAAGUAACAUCUGUUGAUGGAGCAUAUAAUGGUCGGGACACCUGGAUCGUCCUUCUUGAUCAGAUCUAGAGACUUUAGUAGGUGGUCAUACUCCAUGUGGAUUGCAGUGACCAUCUAUGCUAUCUGAAUCUUCUAGGUCUUUUGUUUGCCCUUGUUCUUGGUCUUAUCCUUGUUCUGGGUGUUGCUCUUGUUCCUACUGCCGACAGUUUCCUUCUGAGUACGGAAUGAUAAUGUCCUAUUCUUGAAAGAAAAGGCUUCCCUGUUGCCCUUGCUGUUAAAAGUAAUCAUGGCAUUAAUAGGUCAAAUCAACUUCAGUGUGACCUUCGGCGAUCUUCGAGUUCCGUGUGAGUACCUCUUGGCCAUGGCUUCCGGGCAUAUCGCUAUUGUCAGGACCAAAGUGCUCGAGUUAUCAUCCUUGUCGAUUAAUAGGUCAAAUCAACUGGCACAUCUUGGAUAUUGGAUUGAGUAUUAGCCCUUUGUGUUUGCAGAUCCACUUUUGCAUCAACAACAAUAACGACCACCACAACAGAGAGGCCCAUCAUGACGGUCAUGGUCGGGACGCUGGCCGCAAAUGUCGUGCUUAUAGGCCAGGAUACGACCAUGACCAGGAAGUCGAUCAGGGAGAAGGUUACUGUUGAUGCAAAAGUAGAUCUGCAAACACAAAGGGCUAAGACCCGAUUCAAUGUUAAGGCGUGCCAGCCGAUUUAACCUUACAAUCGACAAAGGUGAUAAAUCGAACACUUUGGUCCCGACAACAGCGAUGCGCCCGAAUGCCACAGCCAAGUGGUAUUCACGUGGAACUCGAGAACUCGUUGAGUAUGACUCAAAGAAUUCUUAAGAACUCAUAAGUAAAAGAAAAUAUGCAAAUUGACGAAGCCGUCGAAAGUAGAUGCGAAAAUAUAUGUAAAACUUUGUGUAUGAUUGAUUGGAUUGUCUCUUACAUCACUGCUAGGCUUAUAUUUAUAACCUGUCCUAAAGAGUUACAACCAAGUACAACUAUGAUUCUAAUUCCAAACUAAACAGAACUCGUACAUAAAACAAACUCUAACAAUUAUAGAAAAUAAUAAUUCUAUCUAUCCUGGGUGAUCGACACACCACCAUUACUUCUCUGACGAUCCCCAAGUAUUCCUUCACCAUCGGCAUAUCGUCCUUCAUCGGCAUCAGUAGUCGUCAUAUCAACUAUCGGCAUUGAUCAACUACCAUUCCCGGACUUAAUUAUAUCCAGUUGCUUUAUCAUCGGUAUUAUAAGCCAUUGGCAACUUCCUUGUCAACCAGUCACCACUUUUCCAUCUGCCGAUCCCAGCUUCACUAAUCUUUCCUGAUACGUGUCCAAAAACGGUGUCAACAGUUACGAUCUCCAACUUAGGCUCCCCUGCAAGGACAUCCGUGAUCACAUUAACAAACGUAUCAAUGACAGAGCCGCGCACAAAAACAUCUACCGUAUCUAAUAUGAUGUUGUGCACGGCCCUCCCAGGUUGAUGUAGUUCUCCCCACACCUUCGACAAGUCGUCUGGCCACACAACUUCAAGCUAGAGAAGCUCAAGAAGUAUGACGGCAAGGAGAACCCUAAAAAUUGGAUCACCCUCUAUGAGAUCGUCGUUCGAUCAGCAACGAGGGAUGAGCAUGUAAUGGCAAAUUAUUUCCCAUUGUCCUUGAUCAAGCCAGCCACCAAUGGCUCCUCGGCUUGCCUAAAAACUCAUUUGAUUCAUGGGAAGAGCUACACCAAGCAUUCAUCGAAAACUUCAUAGCUACUUGUGAGCAACCAGGCAACAAGUACGACCUCGAGAGAAUACAGGAUCGCAAAAAUGAACCACUACGCGACUACAUCCGAUGCUUCUCGAAUAUGCAUCUUAAGAUUCCGAAAAUCUCCCAUGAUGAAACAGUCUCCGCUUUCAUUAAAGGUCUUCGUUUUCACGAAACUCUUUGGAGCAAGCUACUUCAUAAGAGGCCGAGCACAGUCGCCAAGCUCCUUGCUAUUGCAAAAAAUUACGCUAAUACUGAUGAUGCGGAGAAAUUGAUUAGACAAAGACUUCAGAUGAAGUCAACAGAACGACUAGCCUCCCCGACAAGACGACAAUCAAGACCACCGCGGGCAGUUUGACAGUCACACUUCUCGCCGCAACGAUAAUUGGGACCUCCGAGAAGGAUGGGACAGGCACCGAGACCACCGUGAUGAAUUCAGGGGUAAAAGACCCAGUGACAACGAUCAUGAGGUCAACACAGUCAAAUGACUCACUAGUCGUCGUGACUAUCAGGAGGACUAUAGCAAGACCUUGAAAGGACCAUGCCAACUCCAUCCCAAGUCUAACCACACAAUGGAAGAAUGUUGUGUCCUCAAAAGUAUUUACAUGCAGCAGGCCAUCCAAGGUGACACCGCCAAAUCCACCAGCAAACACGAUAGGCGCAACCAAGAGGAUGAGGACGAGGACCAAGACCGAGAUCCACGCCAUUAGUAUGUGUGGGGGUAUAAACCCCUAUACCCUCAUGGGCCUAUAUGGGCCGCACCAUCAGAGGUGGCUCGACCCACAAGAUGAAGACGUGCGGCGCACGACUGGUCGGCGUGCACCGCAAGGCUACAAGAUUUUGUACCAAAUAGGAUACUUUGCUUGUAACUCUGUCCCUUCAGGAUAUAUAAGGAGGGGCAGGGGUCCCCUAGAGGACACAUCAGAUCAUAUUCUCUCAGCACAAAUCAAUACAACCAGACGCAGGACGUAGGUAUUACGCCAACUCGGCGGCCGAACCUGGAUAAAAAGCUUGUCCGUGUCUUGCGUCACCAUCAAGUUCGUAGUUUGCGCACCGUCUACCGAUAAACUACUACCGUGGGUAUACCCCAAGGUAGACUGCCGACUAGCUUUCGUCGACAGUGGCGCGCCAGGUAGGGGGUGUGCGUACAGCUCUCCUAGACGAACAAGAUGGCCAUCAUCCCAAACUUCGUGGCCAUGGCGGGCGGCUUCACGUUCACCGUCAGCUUCAACAACUUCACCGCCAUGACCACGGAGGAGGUGCAGAUCCGAUCUGCGCCAACCACUUCUUCAUCGACGUCGGCGGCGGCUUCAACCACGCUGGCUAUGACUCCGACUACUCCAGCAACGCCUCCGACCACGCCGACAACGCGUCACCCGCUUCCCUGCUACAAAGGGAGGCAGAUCGACAACACCGACCUGCUCGGGCCAUCGACCAAAUUGUUUAGCCUACUUGCUCUGACCACCAGUCGCAAUAAUAAUCGCCGCGAAGAACGACGCUACGACAACAGCAUGACAAGUCGAAAAGCUCGAGGGCCGGACAAUUUUGUCGUCACCGACUAGACUUUCAUCCAAAGAUAAGUACACUUCUAAUAUUUUAUUUAUUUUUGGCAUAAUAUUUUUAAUAUUAUUAUUCUUCAAAACAACUUUUUAGCCGACUAGUUUUUUCUCCUACACGAGCUUUCCAGAGUCGGUACUGUCUCCGACUCCUCCCUACACGUGCACGAGAUCCGCCCUCUGCGUUCCGGGUGGUCGGCAGUAGCUCUCUGACGUGGCUGACAAUCCUACGCGUGCCUAGGUUCCGCACCUCAUGCUGAUUGUUGGCUAGACCAGAGCUGGUACAAGCUCUAGGAUGAAUUAACUACUCGUGCUAAUUUUAUAACAAAAAAUCUAAAACUUAUCUUAGUACUGAUUUUUUAUCUAAAGUUUAUUUAUACAUCAUGUACUACCUAUUCUUUAUAUUUAUUUUUCAGGGGUUUGGCCCAGUCGACAAGCUACGCUCGGGGACUCAUCGACUAUUCCCUAUGCUGUGCCCGGGGACUGCUCCGACCACCGAGCAUGUUUACGUUCCCAACCACGCUCGAGGACUUGUCGACUACUCUCUAUGCUGUGCUCGAAGACUGUGCCGACCACCGAGCACGUUUACGUUCCCAACCACGCUCGGGGACUUGUCCACCGGUCCCUACGCCGUGCUCGGGGACUGUGCCGACCACCGAGCACUAUACGCUCGGGGACUGGUCGACCAGCUCACCAAUUUAAGAACUUGGGGACUGCACCGACCACCGAGCACUAUACGCUCGGGGACUGGUCGACCAGCCCACCAAUUUGAGAAUUCGGGGACUGUACCGACCACCGAGCGUUAUAUGCUCGGAGACUGGUCGAUUAGUCUAUUCAAUUGCAGACGAGCAUGAUAUGCUCGGGGACUGGUAAAUUCAAUUUUUUAGACCUUGCUACAAGGCUCAUACUUCGCCUUCCAGCAAGCUCGGGGACUACAUCGGUACGAUGCAUCUGGCGAUGCAUCUCAGUUUCAGAAUUUCUUUGAGGACUUUUCUUUUGACCCUGGCACCACGUGCCUACGUCACCUACUACCAGGCUCGGGGACUAAGUGGGCACACUUCACCUUGCGGUGAAUAUGCUUGCUUUUUUGAGGUCUAUACUUUUUAGAAAAGUAAAGUGGGCACACUUCACCAGGAAAAAAUCUUUUUUAGAGCACCAUGCAUUCUUCGAACAACCUGCUUCUUCGAUGUCAAUGUUGAUCAACUGUCUUUUGAGUUGGUCAAAAUACCGUUGCAACUGUUUGGGCGACUUUCCUGCUUAUUGAAGACGUCAAGCCUCACUGAUCGAAGAAGCUCAAGACGGCGUGUUACAUCAUAAUACAUGGUGCUCGGGGACUAGCUGUGGGGGUAUAAACCCCUAUACCCUCAUGGGCCUAUAUGGGCCGCACCAUCAGAGGUGGCUCGGCCCACAAGAUGAAGACGUGCGGCGCACGACUGGUCGGCGUGCACCGCAAGGCUACAAGAUUUUGUACCAAAUAGGAUACUUUGCUUGUAACUCUGUCCCUUCAGGAUAUAUAAGGAGGGGCAGGGGUCCCCUAGAGGACACAUCAGAUCAUAUUCUCUCAGCACAAAUCAAUACAACCAGACGCAGGACGUAGGUAUUACGCCAACUCGGCGGCCGAACCUGGAUAAAAAGCUUGUCCGUGUCUUGCGUCACCAUCAAGUUCGUAGUUUGCGCACCGUCUACCGAUAAACUACUACCGUGGGUAUACCCCAAGGUAGACUGCCGACUAGCUUUCGUCGACAGUAUGUCAAUCCAAGUGAUGUCGUCCACUCCAUAUUUUGUGGCAAAGUGUCAAUUGAAUCCAAGAGAGUGAAAACUCCUCAGAAGGGCAUGCCUGAAUGUAGACAGCUCUGAUGGUCUCGUCGUUGAUCCAAAGUUUUCUGCCUGGUCUCAUCGAGAGAUAUCCUUCAUCAGACAAGAUCAAUGGAAGAAACCGCAACCCAAGCCAUCGACCUCUUGAUCCAGAUGGUAGAAACCACAAUCCAAGCAACACAACCCCCCUCUGACCAGCUUGAGAUCCCCGAGCAGUAGGUCCCAAGGAACAACAUGAAGUCCAAGGAGCAAAAAGAAGUCCAACUAGUCAACAAUGAUCCUGAGAAGAUGGCUCUCAUCGGAGCCACUUUGGAUCCUAAAUAGGAAGACGCGCUCGUUAGGUUUUUGAGGGACAAAGUGUUUUCACAUGCAAACUUGUAGAUAUGCUCGGUGUCCCCUGCCACCUGAUCAAGCACUCCUUGAAUGUCUCGAAGACUGCAAGACCCAUCAAGCAGAAACUACGAUGGUUCACUCGUGACAAAAAGGAGGCCAUUAGGACAGAGGUAACAUGGCUUUUAGCAGCUAGAAUUAUUAAAGAAGUGUAUCAACCGGAUUGGCUUGCUAAUCCGGUACUUGUAAGAAAAAAGAAUAAUCAAUGGAGAAUGUGUGUUGAUUACACUGAUCUCAACAAACACUGUCCUAAGGACCCCUUUGGUCUCCCUCGUAUUGACGAGGUGGUCGAUUCAACGGUCGGAUGCGAACUCUUGUCUUUUCUUGACUGCUACUCUGGUUAUCAUCAGAUCUCUUUAAAGGUUGACGACCAGAUUAAAACUUCCUUUAUCACCCCCUUCAGGGCAUAUUGCUACACGACCAUGUCUUUCGGACUAAAAAAUCCUGGAGCCACAUAUCAAUGUGAAAUCCAGAAAUGUCUUCACGAUGAGAUAUGGGAUGACCUUGUCGAAACUUAUGUCGAUGACGUUGUCAAGAAAACCAGAGACGCUAGCACUCUGAUCAACAAGCUCGACCGAACCUUCAAAGCCAUCAAUGGAUAUAAAUGGAAACUUAACCCUAAAAAAUGUAUUUUUGGGGUUCCCUCUGGCAUACUGCUCGGUACCGUCAUCAGCCGAGAUGGCAUAAGCCCAAAUCCGUCUAAAGUCAAGGCAGUUCUCGACAUGCGACCACCAAGGAACAUAAAAGACGUACAGAAGCUCACCGGGUGUAUGGCUGCUCUUAGCCGUUUCAUAUCUCAACUUGGAGAAAAAGAGCUUCCCUUCUUCAAAUUACUAAAAGCAUCUGAAAAGUUUACCUGGAUAGAGGAGGCCGAUAGAGCAUUUACACAACUUAAAGCUUUCCUUACGUCUCCUCCAGUACUUAUCGCGCCUCAGCCAAAUGAGGUCCUACUUCUAUACAUCACGACCAUUGAUCGCGUUGUCUCAAUGGUGCUUGUGGUCGAGCAUGAAGAGCUAGGCCACAUUUACAAGGUCCAGCGACCAGUAUACUUCAUAAGUGAAGUCCUAAAUGAGUGCAAGACUAGAUAUCCCCAGAUACAGAGGCUGAUCUACACCAUUAUGAUUAUUUCCAGAAAACUAAAAUGAUAUUUUGAUGGACACCACAUCAUGGUAACUACAAGUUUUCCAUUUGGAGAUAUCCUGCACAACAAGGAUGCAAAUGGUUAGAUAGUAAAGUGGGCCAUGGAGUUGUGUCCCUUUUCGAUGGAUUUUCACAGUGGCACAACCGUCAAAUCACAAGCUCUCAUGGACUUGAUCACGGAAUGGACUGACCUCAAUGCACCCCCAACACACGAUACCACCGAGUAGUGGCAAAUGUUCUUUGAUGCAUCACUGAACAUCAACGGGGCUAGAGCCUGUAACACCCCAGUGUUAUGGUUGCAUCCUUUCACAUACAUAACAUAAUCAUGAUCAACUUCAUAAGCAUACCAUGAUCAUCAUUCACCUUGGGUCAUGUCAUUUUAUGCAUAAGUGUGGUUUAACUUGUUUAAUUAUGCUCUCUAUGCUUAUGUUUGUUUAUGCCAUGCUCUUGUUUGUGUCCUAGGCCUUGGUAAAUAGUUCAUCUAUGCUUAACUCAACCUUUGGAACAAUGUUCAUGUUGGUCAUAUCUUCAAAUUAUGUCUCUAAGUCAUAAUUUCACUCAUAGGCUCUACAAACCUCUUUUGCUUAGGCUUUUAAAAAGUGUUUCAUAAAAUAUUUGCAUGUUAAAGCUUCCUAAAGCAAAGUUAUAGAAAAUGUUAUAAGGAACAGAAGUUGUUUUAUGUCCAUCUCAUGAAAAUGAACACAACUUGCUCAAAAAGGGCUCACAAGGCAGAAUUGGUGGCUGUUUUGACACUUAGCAAAAUUUUGCCAAGUCCUGGCGCCACCAGUUUGCCAGAAGGUUAUUGGAAGCUCUAUAUCAUUUCAUCUAGGCCGAAUUGGUCUUUGCUCCAGUUGACAAACUUAUUGAACUCAGUUAGUACUCCAAGAUUGUCAACUACACCAUCUCCUAAUUCGCCACAGUUUGGAAGAUAAUCAGCGCCAAAGUACCUCUAUCAGUCUUUGAAACCAGCUCUGAAUGGACACCGUCACCGUCAACGUGGCCGACCGGCGGCAGCGCUGAGGGCGUGCAUGACCUCCACGGCGUCGCCCUCGAGCUCCUAGACGCAUCCAUUCUCUCCCUCCCGCCCUUCUUGCGCAGAAACUCGGCCGCAGCGGAGGCGCCAUCGUCGGGCUCGCUCCGGCGAGCUCGAGCGCACCCCACACUGCAUCGCCGUCCACCAAAGUUCGCCCACAGCUCUUCCGUGCUCCGCUCUCCAACCUCCACCCUCAAGCUCGCCGUGAAACCCUCUGGUGAGCCGACAUUUUCAUCUUUCCCCAAAUCGGGUCGCCGAAACAGUUUUCUCCGGCGAGCCUAAUGCUGAGCUCCUCGGAGCCACUCGUCCUCUCUAGUUGGGUUCUCGGGGUAGCUUAGGACCUUAGCUAGCAUCUGCGCCACUUGGGAGACACUCUACCGCGCUCACCAUCACCGGACACGACGCGCAGCGCCGCCGUGUUUCCGCCGGAGCUCGGUCCUCUCGUGGCCAGCCCUCUCCACAUCGUUUCAAGCUAAGUCACCUACCUAGAAAGCUUCGCCGUAGUUCACUGGUGCUGUAGGAAACCCCAGGGCACGCUCUACAGGCCUGAGAACGCCUGCGCAUCGCCGAGCACCUCCGCCGAGCCACCAUGGUCGACGGCAAGCCCCUUCCGGUGUCUCCGCCGUGGGGAAAAGGCGGUCAAUUGGUUCGCAAGUGACCUGGGAUCACGUUCGUGUCCUCGGUUUGGGUGGAGACCUCGCUGUCGCGGAGAAAUCGCCGGCGAACUUCGUCUCGGUCGAGGGGAAGAAGAACCUGACAUGCGGGUCCCGCUGUCAGUGGCUCAACGGCUCCCUCCUCUCUUUUAUUCAAAAUCCAGAUUUCUUGCAAUCUUGCAAAAAUUAUAUCUCCAGUUUGUGAGCUCCAAAAAUUGUGAAACAAAUUUUGUGAUGAUCCAUGGGACGGCUAGUGUUUAAUAAAAAUAUAAUAUGCACCAUGUUUUCUAUGAAAAAUAAUUGUUAUGAAUUAAUAUUAUUAUUUCUAUAUAAAUUCAUAUCUCUUGAUAUACUGCUCCAAAUGCUGUGAAAAUUUUAUUCUAUGCUUUGUGUGUUACUGGUAUGCUCUGGUAAUUAUUUCAUGAUUUUUGGAGUACUAUAUCUCUGAUAUGUAAUUUAUGUUAAUACUAUUGCUUAAAUCCUUGUGGAAAUCAUAAUAAAUGUUACAUACUUAUGCUGGUGCUUUCCUUUGGUGGCAAGCUUGCUCAUGGUAGUAGUAGCAUGUAAAUAAUCUGAAAUCUGUUGUUUGACACUAUUUAAGCCAUGUUUCUUAAUUUAUGAAAUAAGCACCUUGUUACAAGUUAAUUAAAUAUCUUAAGUUUGGCAAGUAGUCAACAUGUGGUCUUCUGGUAAUCUUAGGUUAUACUUGUUCUUAUGAGUCACUUGGUUGGUACUAAAUAUGUCUUUGCUAUGUCAACAAAUAAUUAAUUAAAGGUUAUAUAGCUGUUCUGGAAAGCAAGGGAGUAAUCUGAUUAUUGCAUAAUGAUAACUUUAUUUUCUAAAAAACUUGUCUAUAUCAAAGAUAUUGUAAACUUUGUGUUCUAGCUGUGGUUAAAUUUUGGGGUCAUUUGGCCCAGUUUAAGAGUUAUGGCUUUUCCAAGUUAAGUUCCAGAACUAGGUGCUCUCUGUCUUUCUCGAACAGAACCUGGAACUUUGUUUAAUUGACCUAUUUAACUUGUGAAUCUUGCUGUGAUGUCUAAAGAUGAAAUGUAAAUAAUUUCAUAAGCUUUCCAGAAUGUCUUCAUUCAUGUUUGUUGGAUCUAUAUAUCUCUAGUUAUUGGUUGUUCUGUGAGCUGCCCUGUUGUUGGUUGUUGCUGCUUAAUUGUGUUAGUUGUGGUGGUACUCUUUUGUGAGCUUGUAAUAGAAGCUUACUCCAUAAAUGAGUGUCCAAUGAAGUAUGUAAUCAUGUUUGCCAAGCAUUCAUCAUUCUCUUCCUAUGCAUACAUUCCUUAUUCAUUCGUGCAUGCAAUAGGUGCACUGAAGACUGCGACCUCGUUCGAGCUCGAUAGGGUGAUUGCAGAAGGUCUGGAGGUCACCCAGGAGACGGAGGCCCAGCCAGUAGGACCCGAGAAGCCCGAAGAGGAAGUCGAGUGCCCUAGUCACGAGCCCGCUUUGUUCGUGAAAGGCAAGCCCCGGAGCAUCUUAUGUCUCCCACUUUAAUUUCAAAGCAUACUUGAAUAUGUUAUAUCUAUUGAUGCAUUAUGUAUAGGAGUUGUGAUGGAACCCUUGCGGCAUUAUACCUUUCCUUGUCUAGAUAUCUUAUCCUACCUUGUUGUAGAGUUAGGAUCGAGUAGCAGCUUAGCCAUGCUUUAAUCGGUAGAAGUCGGGUGAUAUCCUGUCACCUGCGCGAAAUAGGGUCUGUUGUUGGAUCGUGAUUGGCUAUAUGUGCUAUUGUGGGAAAGAACCUGGUUUAAAAUGACUUAAGUCGGGCGGAGUUUUGCAAGGUGGUAGUAACUCUAUCUGUGGCAGCUAAGGACCGAUCGUUGUAUGUCCUCUUGUCAUGUUGAACGCAUGCCUGACACUUAGUUGGCCGGAUAACUCGUUUCGACCGUGAAGCCUAGUAGUAUGACUCAGGCCAGAAGACCGGCAAGUAUAAAGUGCGCACUACCGGAGGAAGUGCGGUGCGCGGGGGCCAUUGGCGUAAGACCAAGGGCAGGUGAUUUUAAAGUCCUGAUCUUCCUGGUAGAGUGGCAGCCCUGGGAGUGCGGCGCUGAUCGGACCUGCGAUUCAUGAGUCGUACCAAAGGUGACCCACUUGCUCUCCGACAUGGGAUGCAUGGGUGAGUGCUAGGAAUAACCCUCCAGUUGGAUAGGAAUCGAUUUGAAUCGUCGUCUCUCCCGUAUAGUGAGAACUUGACAGAGCAGCGACAAACUUAGCAUCCACUAAGUACUUAAUGGUUCUUAAUGAUGAUGUUGAGGAUAGCAAGCAAGAACAUAUGUUGAAACUUGAUAUGGUUAUUAUUGUUUGUUAAUAAUCAAGUGAAGUGCUUAGUCUAGGUGCUAAUCUAGUAAUAGGCUAAUGAUAAUCAAUAUGAUGCUUAUAAGAAUGGUUUAUUAUCCAGUCUAAGCUUUUUAGCAAAUGUAUAAGUCAAGCCAGCUACACUUUAUACUCAGCCUUGCAUGAUCCUUGGUGUCUUUUAUGUUUGGUUAGACGGGUAAGUCUAGCUGAGUACAUCCUCGUACUCAGGGUUUAUUCCCACCUGUUGCAGAUGAUAUCUUCUAUGAUGGUUUCUGCAAGACCUGCCUUCAUCCCGCUGGGGAUGAGGACUAAACCGUUGGGCGUGGUUCUCUAAUGACUUCAUACCUCUGAUGCUUUUGGUGGAUGUGAUGAGACUCUGGCUGUAACAAGAACUUAUGAAAUGUGUGUGUGAAAACUAUGUUGCUUCCGCUACUUCGAACUUGUGUUGUAAUAACUUAAGUAACUCCGAUGUGGUGCCGCUUCGUCGGCAAUGAAUGAACUAUGUAACAAUCGAUGUAUUGUGUUGAACUAUUACGAUCUUGGUAUGUUGCAAGUUGGUUUGAAAUCCUUCAUGAUUUCGGUUGACUACCAGGAUUAUAUGGGUUCAAGUCUGGAAACUUGAUUGCUUGUUCGAUCGUUUCUACACUUGAACUCUUAUAAUUUGGCCGGUUCUAUGACAGUUGGCAUCGGAGUAAGUUUAGCAUUAAAAUGCAGCAUUUAUGUAUUUAAAAACAAAAGAGUUUUUAAAUAAAUUGUGAAAAUAAGCACCUAAAGUAUGCCAGUGGUCGAAUCCUUCUUGCCCAUAUAAGGACUCUAGGUGGCUAUUUAAGUACUGACUUGGGGGGUUUUAAUUAUGCAUCUCUGGCAGUACUUAGGUAUGGAUGUGUGAUGACCGCACUAUGCUACCCUGUGUAAUUAUGCAUCUCUGGCAGUACUUAGGUAUGGAUGUGUGAUGACCGCACUAUCCUCCUUCAUAUGUGAAUUAGCCACAUAUGUCGCUAGAUUUAAAUUAUGCAACGUCGCACCUACGCUCAGGUAAGUGUGAGCUGUGAGAGCAUGAUCGUCCAAACGGCUGUCUAGGGGAGUGUUCGCGGUGGUUUUCUGGAGUGGUUGCACGUCAAACCAUGGAACCGCGAAAGAAACUUAAUUGGGGAGCAUUUAUUUUCUCGGGUAGAUGUGGUGUCAUUGUUUGCGCAUGUCAGGGUAUGUGUAAGCAAUGUGCACUUAGUUUACUGCUUUCUUGAGUGAAAUAUUGGGAAUUGUUGGGCUACAAUGAAGUUUUAUGCAGGUACUCUAACAGUGCGCGUGUAAGUCGAUAGUUACCGUAUUGAGAGACGAGUGUAUGCCACCGUAUAUCUGUUAGAAUCUUAAAUUUUCUAAGUUUGUGAGGACGUACGGUUCGUGCAUGCAUCAUUGUAAGUGCAUUCGCCCCUGGUGUGGGUUUUGAUAAUUAAUGACAAUCAAAUUAGGAACUAACAUGUCUAUCAAGUGUAAUCUACAGGUGUUAGUUCAUUGAUGGAAUCAAACAAACACAUUUGGUGAAUCACAGCACCCCCAAAUUUUUCAUCUUUUGAGCGACGUUUCAACUCAAGAAGCUACCUAGUUUUAUUUCUUGUUUGAGUUAUAGGAAACGCCGCACUAUCAAGAGGGAUGCAAAUUGAGUUGGUAAGAUGAGGAUAAAGGUGCUCAGGUCAACUUAGCUUUUGCGCUUAAGAGACACACUUGCACGCACGAACACCUACGAAGUUUCUUCUCUGCCAGGGUGAGCUGGUAGUACCGGCCCUCAGGGCCGGUGGUACCGGCAGUGCCAGUUCUUCUUCUGAGUUUCGAGAAAAUGAACUACCGGUAGUACCGGGCUUUGACCGGUGGUACCGGCUACCGCCGGUGGUACCGGUGAAACGCCGGUAGUACCGGCAGGCCAAAUUCUCGCAGAACUGCUGAAUGCGGGAAUUUGUACUGCCGGUGGUACCGGCCUUCCACCGGUGGUACCGGCGCUGGCUGGUGGUACCGGCUCAAGGCCGGUAGUACCGAUAGGCCUUUUUCUCGCAUCUUCCACAACCUUCUCACGUUGAUCUGAGGACACCGGUGGUACCGGUGGUUGCACCGGUAGUACCAGCAGGUGUUUUGUACUCUAGUAUAAAUAGCUCUCUCCUCUUUUCUAACCGUUGGCUUGCUCAUUCUAGCUACUCCACAUCUGAGAAAACAGUCUCCAAGCUUUGUCUCACCCACUCUCUCUCCCUCUUGCUCCUAGACUUCAUUUCUUGAGAGAUUCGAGCUAGAGAAGUGAGAUUAGAGAGUUGGGAGCUUCGAUCUGUGACUUGAGCACUCGGUUCUUCGUCUUGCCGGUUUGGUUUGUAUUUGUUACUCUUGGGUUCUUGGAACCCUAGCCGGCUAGGCGUUCUUCGUGGUUGCCCGUGUUGAUUCACUUGUGAGGGCACCCUAAAGUGUUUGUAUUACCCCUUUAUUCUUAGUGGAAUCAUCAAGCUAACCUUUGUGGUUGCUUGAGGAGGAGACCUAAGUGGUUAGACCUUCGUGGUCACCUCAACAACGGGGACGUAGGAACUCCUCAGUGGAGAUUGCCGAACCUCGGGAAAAAUACCUUGUCUUGCUGUGGCGGUAGCUUCGAGUACCCUUUGUCUUGUGUUCCUUGUGUUCCUUCUCCUCCCACUCUUUGAUAGGUAAACAAGGGUCAAUCUACGUUGUGGAGAAAAACCAAGCUAAGGAAUCUUCAACAACCUCCUCUCCUACAUCUAGGAAAGUGGGGUAACACUCAAAUCUGAAAUCUAAGCUCUUUACACUCUGAUUUCGUAGAUGUUUUAGGGAGUCAGUGGUACCAGCAGUUUGCGUCGGUAGUACUGGCUGUCUUACACCAGUAGUACCGGCCCAAACUGUCGGUAGUACCGACAGGCAUUUGACUUCCGCAACUUGAGUUUUGAGUUUUAGGUUUUUAGAUACGCCUAUUCACCCCCCUCUUGCCAAUUAGAUCCUUUCAAUUUGUAUCAAAGCAAGGUUCCUCGUACAAACGCUUCACCACGUGAGGAGCAACAUUGGCCAAGAUGGAUCCAACAACUCAACAACAAAUCGUUGAGCAAAUCACAUCACAGAUCACAGCAUCCUUGCAGCUGCAGCAGAAAGAGCAGAUGAAGAAGAUGCAAGAAGAGCUAGACAAGAUGAAAGAAAUCCUAGGUAAAAGGAAUCAUGAGUCGGAUAGCGAAGGUCAAAAUGAAGAUGCUAGCAAGGUGUCAAAGACCUAAAACAAAACUGGGUUUGAUUAUAGCGGUUCAAGCAAGAAUCCAACAUUGCCGAUGAUCAAUCCUGGAAAGCCACCUCCAUUUGAUAGUAUAAGGUACACCGAUUGGGCUCAUGGAUUGAAGUUGCAUCUCAUUGCCGCAAGAUGCUGGGAAGUAGUGGACAUUGGAGUGAAUCCACCGCAAGAUCCAAGUGAGUGGACUCCCGAAGAUGAGAGAGACUUUCACCUUAAUGCAACAACUGCUACCUUGAUCUUGCAAUGUCUUACUCCGGAGGACAACAACAAAGUAAAUGGUAUGGUGAAUGCUAAGCAGAUUUGGGACACCUUGAAAGUGUCAUUUGAGGGAGACAAAAGUGUAAGAGUAGGAAACAUUGAGCUCUUACAAAGCAAGAUUGAGAACUUUUGCAUACUUGAGGGAGAAACAACAAAAGCCAUGUUUGAUAGAUUUAUGUCAUUGAUCAAUCAAAUUAGAGCACUUGGAGCAAAAACAUGGGAUGAUAACUCUACAGCAAGAAAGAUUUGUAGAGUAUAUAGGCAAAGGAACAACAUGCUUGCAUCCGUCAUCAUGGAGAAAGAUAACUAUCAUACUAUGACUCCUCAAGAAAUGCUAGCAAAGUUGAUGCACCAUGAAGUCUUGGAUGAUGAAGCCAAAGAAGCCCUAAAUCAAAGAAAGAACAUAGCACUCACAGCUUCUCAUGGAAGCGAGUCAAGUCAUUGCAACAAAGGAUGUUGUGAGCAUAAGCACAAAGAUGAUGAUGAUCUUGAUGAAGAACAAGCUAUGCUAGUGGGAAACUACAAGAACUAUCUAAGGAUGAAGAACGAUAAUAUGAGGAGAUAUGGAGGAAACAAGCGAUAUAGAAAGAGGUUUUGCUAUGAGUGUGGUGACACCGACCAUAUUGCAGCUGACUGUCCCAACAAAGGAAAGAAGUCAAGGUACAACAAGCAAAAUGACAAGAAGUACAAGGACAAGAAGAAAGGGGAAGCUCACCUUGGGCAAGAAUGGCAAUCUGACCGUGACAGUGAUGAUGAUGACAAUGAGAAGAAGAGUAUAGUUGCCAUCGCCGUACAAGAAAGAUCCUCCCCAACCAAGAUCUUCUCCAACAUUGCCUCAUCUACAGCACUCAUCUCCGACACCCACUCAUCGCCUAGGCUCUUCGCCAAUCUCUCUGAUGACGAUGAUGACACUCCUACAUGCCUUAUGGCAAAAGGAGACAAGGUACAAACUAACUCCUCUCCUCAAACCACUAGUGAUUAUGAUAAUGAUAAUGAGGAUGAUGAAAACUAUGCUAAUAAUCUCAUUAAGAAAUAUGGUAAAACUGCUGCAACUAAAAUUCUAAAGCUAAUGUAUGCUAAUGACAAGCUUGAGUCAUGCAUCGAGUCGCAAGGUGAAUUGCUCCUAGAGGAAAGGGAGAAGAACCAAGGGCUCGAAGUAUGUCUCUCCAAGGAAAAGGAGAGGGUUGAGAAAUUGGGUGUAGAAUUGUCUCUAGUCAAAGACUCCAAUGAGCAAUUGACUAAGGAACAUUCCUCACUCAAUGGCUCUUUGGCUAGCCUAAAGAAUGAUCAUAGUUUGGCACAAGAAAUCCUCACAAGCUUGACAACAAAAUAUCAUGAGCUUGAACUAAACUAUGAAAAGCUUUGGCUAGCACCUCUACCGCUUCCAAGGAUUCAAAGGCUUCUACAAGUAAAAGCUGUGAAAGAUGCAUAAAUGUUGACAUAAAUGCAUGUGUCACUAACCUUGAUGAGUUAGCCAAGAAGGACAAAGAAAUUCAAAGACUGAACACUAUUGUCAAGAUUGGUUGCAAGUGCAAGGACAAGCAGCCGGUAAAUGUGUUCAAGGCAUCAAGGCACCCCAUAAUCAAGGAUGGCCUUAGAUAUAAUCGGUACAAUGGUAAGGCCAAUGGGAGAAACAUGAUAAAUGGGGUGGCUUGUGUGAAGUUCAACAAGAGUGUGCCUCUUGUUGACCUUAUUGAUAAGGUGAACAAUGUUGCCACUCCUACAAUCCCACUUGCAAACAACAAGAACAUCAAGAAGAAGCAAGAGGAAGUGCCCAAGCAACAAGCGCCUAUCUCGCGCAAUCAUAUUUGUGAUUACAUGUGUUGUUGGGAUAAGGAUGGCAAGAUUGUUGUGAAGUAUGUGGGCACCCUCAAGAAGAGAGACAUCUGAGGAGUGUUUGGGUGCCCAAAUCUUAUGUGUCUAACCCCCUAUGUUCCAACUCGGGACCUAAAACAAAGGCUUAAUCUUGUCUUGUAGGUUUAUUCCUCCGGUGGGCCAAGUUGGAUGCUUGAUAGUGGAUGCACCAAUCACAUGACCGGAGAGAAGAACAUGUUCACUUCCUUUCAACCGAAUCAAAUCACAAGUGAAAGGAUUGUCUUUGGUGACAAUAGUAAAGGAGAUAUCCUUGGUUUAGGUAAAAUUGCAAUUUCAAAUGAUAAUUCUAUUUCGAAUGUUUUGCUUGUGGACUUGUUGGGAUACAAUUUGUUAUCCGUCUCACAACUUUGUGAGAAGGGUUACAAUUGUCUCUUUACGGAUAAGGGUGUGGAAGUCUCUAGAAGGUCGGAUUCCUCUAUUGCUUUUAUUUGUCAACUAAAGGGCAAGCUCUAUCUAGUUGAUUUCUCAACUAGUAGAGUGGGGUAUGAGACUUGUUUAGUGGCAAAAUCUAGCAUGGGCUGGCUGUGGCAUCGCCGUCUAGCCCAUGUUGGGAUGGGGAACUUGGCCGAUCUUCAAAAAGGUGAACACAUCCUUGGACUAACGAAUGUUUCUUUUGAGAAAGAUAGAAUUUGCAGUGCAUGUCAAGCGGGAAAACAAGUUGGAGCUAAGCAUCCCGCGAAGAAUAUUGUGACUACAUCAAGACCACUUGAGCUUCUUCACAUGGAUUUAUUCGGUCCCAAUGCUUACAUAAGCAUUGGAGGUAACAAAUAUGGUUUCGUAAUUGUUGAUGACUUUUCUCGCUUCACUUGGGUAUUCUUUUUGAAGGACAAGAGUGAGACUCAAGGGAUCUUCAAGAAGUUUGCAAGAAGGGCUCAAAAUGAGUUUGAAGUGAAGAUCAAGAAAGUGAGAAGCGACAACGGGACUGAAUUUAGAAAUACCAACAUUGAAGCAUACCUUGAUGAAGAAGGCAUCAAGCAUGAGUUCUCGGUUGCAUAUACCCCACAACAAAACGGUGUGGUAGAAAGAAAGAACCGAACACUCAUUGAAGCCGCAAGAGCAAUGUUGGAUGAAUACAAGAUCUCCGAAAAGGAUUAUUGGGUGGAAGCCGUUAACACGGCAUGUCACGCCAUCAACCGCUUAUACCUCCACAAGUUGAGGAAGAAAACUGCCUACGAACUUCUAAUCGGUAAAAAGCCUAAGGUGGAUUACUUUAGAGUUUUUGGAUGCAAGUGUUUCAUACUUAAUAAAAGAUCCAAAAGCUCUAAGUUCGCACCAAAGGUUGAUGAAGGGUUCUUACUUGGUUAUGCUACUAAUCAACAUGGCUAUCGUGUUUUCAAUGAGACCAGCGGACAAAUUGAAAUAGCGGUAGACGUGACUUUUGAUGAAAGCGACGGCUCUCAAAAGGAGCAAGUCAAUGCUGAAAUUUUAGGUAAAGAAGAGCCAUCUCGCCAAGUAAUCAAAAAGCUUGCUACCGGUGAAGUGAAACCCGUUGAAGAAGAAGAUGAUGCACACAUGCAAAUUUCUCGUGACCCAAACUUGCAUCAUGGGUCAACCAAUGCCCAUGUGAUGCUUCCACAUCAAGAAGAGGUCAUGACUCAAGAGAACAAGUUGGACAAGAUCCACCUCAAGCACAAGAACUAAACCAAGAUGGAGAUCAAAAUGUUCAAGAUCUAGAUUCUCCAAUCAACCAAGACCAUGAAGAUGAAGAUGAUGGUCCCAUUCAAACAAGAACAGCAGUGCCUCAUCCAAGAGUUCAUCACUUUAUUCAAUGGGAUCAUCCCGUUGAUAGCAUUUUGGGAGACAUACAACGAGGGGUAACAACACGCUCUCGUUUAGUUGGUUUUUGUGAACAUUACUCUUUUGUCUCCUCUAUGUUGCCAAAUAGGGUGGAAGAUGCCUUGGCAGAUCCGGAUUGGGUGAUGGCUAUGCAAGAAGAGUUGAACAACUUCACUAGGAAUGAAGUCUGGUCCUUGGUGGAAAGACCCAAGCAAAACGUGAUAGGUACCAAAUGGGUCUUCCGCAACAAAGAAGAUGAGUAUGGCGUGGUCACUAGAAACAAGGCUCGGUUGGUUGCCAAAGGUUUCACUCAAAUCGAAGGUUUGGAUUUUGGGGAGACUUAUGCACCUGUAGCUAGGCUUGAAUCUAUUCGCAUAUUACUUGCCUUUGCUGCUCACCAUGAUUUCAAGUUGUUUCAAAUGGACGUGAAAAGUGCAUUCCUCAAUGGCCCCCUCUCCGAAACCGUGUAUGUGGAGCAACCACCGGGUUUUGAAGAUCCACAUCAUCCCAAUCAUGUCUACAAGCUGGACAAGGCACUCUAUGGGCUUAAGCAAGCCCCUAGAGCUUGGUAUGAUUGUCUCAAGGAUUUCCUACUCAAACAAGGGUUUGAGAUUGGAAAAGCCGAUCCCACUUUAUUUACUCGCAAAGUCAAUAAUGAUAUUUUUAUAUGCCAAAUAUAUGUCGAUGACAUUAUUAUUUGGUAGUACUAAUGCGGACUUCAGUGAGGAAUUUAGUAGGAUCAUGACCAAAAGGAUCGAGAUGUCCAUGAUGGGGGAGUUAACGUACUUCCUUGGAUUUCAAAUCAAGCAACUCAAGGACGGCACGUUCAUAAGUCAAACCAAGUACACCACCGACAUGCUAAAGAAGUUUGACAUGGACAAGGCCAAACCCAUAAAGACACCAAUGGCAACAACCGGACACCUUGACCUUGAUAAAGACGGCAAGGCCAUUGAUCAAAAGGUAUAUCGCUCCAUGAUUGGAUCUUUGCUUUACCUUUGUGCAUCUAGGCCUGAUAUUAUGCUUAGUGUGUGCAUGUGUGCAAGAUUUCAAGCUAAUCCGAAAGAAUGCCAUCCCAUGGCUGUUAAGAGAAUUUUUCGGUAUCUUGUGUUCACUCCUAAUCUUGGCUUGUGGUACCCAAAGGGCUCCACUUUCACUCUACUUGGCUAUUCCGAUUCGGACUAUGCCGGUUGCAGGGUAGAGCGAAAGAGUACAUCAGGGACUUGCCAAUUUCUUGGUAGGUCUUUGGUGUCCUAGAGUUCUAAGAAACAAAACUCCAUUGCCCUUUCCACCGCUAAAGCCGAGUAUGUGGCGGCCGGCGCCUGCUGUGCCCAACUGCUUUGGAUAAAGCAAACCUUGAGAGACUUUGGUUGUGAGCAAAGCAAGAUUCCCCUCUUAUGUGACAAUGAGGGGGCAAUCAAGCUAGCUGAUAACCCUAUAAACCACUCUAGAACAAAGCACAUAGACAUUCGCCAUCACUUCCUGAGAGACCACCAAUCCAAAGGAGAUAUCGUUGUGCAACAUGUGAGAACCGAAUUCCAGUUAGCCGAUAUCUUCACUAAACCUCUAGAUGAGUCAAGAUUUUGUGCUUUGAGGCGUGAACUAAAUAUCGUUGAUUCUCGUAACAUGGCUUGAUGUCUUGCACAUACUUGAUUGAUUAGAAAGGUCAAAUCUUUAUGAAAAAUUGAGUGUUAUUUCAAAAUCUAAUUUUCACAUCUCAAGCAUGGCCAUUGUUUUGUAAUGAGUUGAUGAAAUCUGGCCAUGUUUGAUUUGUUUCUAAGUUUGCCACACUAAGUUCACUUCUGCGCUGAUUCCCUGUCCUGCCGGUGGUACCGGCGCCUAGCCCCGGUGGUACCGGCUCCAGCCGGUGGUACCGGCCGAAGCCCGGUAGCACUGGUAGGCCAAAAUCCUGCAAAACUCUUCUCCCCUCUCUCUGGCUCGCCGGUGGUACCGGCUCCUUGGCCGGUAGUACCGGCAGUACUUUUCACUGCCAUAUUUCAGCCGCCCGCUGUAACUUUCUCUGCCUUAUCUCUUCACACCCGCCCGACCCCUUCUUCUUUUCUCUUCCCCCGGCGGCGGCGGCGGUGUUCUUGGCCCGAUCUCUCGGCUCCUUCUUCUCCUUCGCCCGUUCUUCAAGGAGGUCUUCGCCCCGGCCGUGAGGGAUGCGUGGAGAGUCUUUGUUGACUCCAAGACCCUUGGGAUUGCUUGGAUUCGGCCUCCUUUCUCCAUGACGCAAGGUACUCAUUGGAAUCACCCGAUCUCCCAAUGUACCUUAUUUUAGGCCGUUUCCUCGCACUCCUUUCCUUAUCUCAGUGUGUUCUUGCUUCUAGAAUACCUUAUGCGCUUUUCCCAUGGUCGAUUCGGUCGAUUGGAGGUGAUUUCCUUGCUCAUCGGUGCGGCUGGUGGUACCGGCCCCUGUGAGUAGGGCAGUUCCUCCCAUCGCCUUGAUCGAUUCCAUGCUACAUUCUAGUGCGGUCUUGUAAUCUUUUCUUGCUCCCCUCUUUGUGGUGUUGCAGCAGGGAUUCUGGGAAGCGCAAGAACCCUCCCCGUGGUGCUCGCCCUAGUUCCAGUGACGCCGGUGGUCAGUCUGAGAACGGGCAGUGCUUGGCCAUGGGACUCCUUCCCGUGGUUAGGGUGCUGCUGGUGCUUCCACCGAUGAUGAGGGUAUUCCUGCCCCUCUUCACACCCACACCGUCCCGUGUCCUCCCCUCUCUCACUGUGACAGAGUUCGAAGUCAAGCCGUGCCUGAUCCUGUGCAAGAGGAAGGACGAGCCAUGGACCCCAAUGUCCUUCGUCGCUCGCCCCUGCAUCUCAGUGAGGUUGGUGCUCGCCGGACUCUCUCAUGGCAUCCUCAGUUUAAUGCCCAUGUCCGGAGGCCCUCUAUACCCUCGGGCACUCAGCCCUGGCUUGGUAUUGAUUACAAGAAGCACCUUGUGGACUUAAGAAAUCAGCGCAGUGAGAACCCCUACAAGUUUAUCAAGUUUGAGGGAGUUUAGUGUUGACACUAGCUAACACCACUUAGAUACUAGGUUGUCAUCCCUAGCAUGGCGCCAGAGUGUACAAAGGUAUUUAUAAAUGUAAAGACUCUCUAGAAAAUAAUCUAUUCUAUCCGCAAGCGCACAGAUAAAACACCUCAUUGUAGCAUUUCACCAGGAUAAGUAUUCCAAGUAUCGUUAUUUAUAAUUUUGCUCUAGGGAUCUAAAGAAGAUGGAAUUAAAUCAAGGGACAAAAUCUAUCAAGGCAUAGACUAGAGAUAAACUUGCAAGAACAUGAUUACUAAUGAGAAACUCGUCACACAGUCACUUACUUUAGCAGGGGGUAAACCAUAAAGAUAAUGAUAAUAAAGUAUAAGUUCAUGGGUAGAUAGCACAGCGAUUAGAAAAUAGAUUACUCCUCAUAUAUGUAGGUGAUGUCGGAUUAGCUAGAGAAUGGAUUCUAAGUUAUCUACUAACUACUAAGUCAUAAUCUACUCUAGUUAUCUACAAGAUCAUAUAUAGCAUAAAAGACUCUUCAUUCAUGUAUAAGGAACAUUGAUAAAGUAAAUCAGAACAUCGCAUGACUUACUCCACAAUACCGGUUCUGCCUGUCCUAGCAACGGAGGGUGGACUAUAUAAGAAUCAACGAAGCUAUCACUAUCGCGAACUACCACAUGACUCGGCCAAUAGGAUACAUUUGCAGAUAAAUAACAUCUAAGCACCACGCUCAUAUGUGAUCUAUCACCUAACUCCCUCGCGUCAAGAGCUAAGCGCUUUGCAAACUUAUACAUAAACUCAUUAUCAAUUAGAACUAUAUCAAAUAUAGAACUAGAGCAAACUAAGAACAUAAUAAUUAGAGACAUAAUGCAAUUAGAACAAUAGAAUUAGAGAAAGAUAUGAAUAAUACCAAUCUUUAUUACCGAAGAUCCGAAUCCAGAGCGUAGUGCUCUACUUCUCUAAUUGCUAUCUAAUCAAACCUCUAAACUUGAAGGAUUAGGGAGUAGCUAAUUCUAAUUCUCUGUGGGAGAGAGAUCUAAACCCUAACUUUGAUGGCUACCUCUGAAUAAUGAUUUCUCCUCCCUCCUCCAGGGGCCAGGGGGUCUGGUUUUAUAGUCCUCUCAAGUGAACGUGAGCCAUUGGAUCAAACCGACAUAGAUUGUAUGGUUUAGAUUGAUCCUUUAGGUCGGUGGAGCGUUGUCCCAAAGCAGAGUCCUGAUUGGCCUCCAACCCUUGGCGGGCGCCCAAGGGGGGUGGGCGGCCGCCCAGCUCCCGAGCCCGAAUCGCGUCCCGUUCGUUCCCGUGGCUUCUGGAUCCUUCUAGAUUGAGGAAAAUUGCGCGGCACGUAAUUAUCUCGUUGUAAACAUGACAUGUGGGCCUUCUCUCCAUAUUUUCUGAUAAACCCCUGCAGAAAUAGAUAAACACCAAAACUCAUGGAAUUCUGUCAGAUAAAACCCUAAUUCUAGAUGUUUGUUUCAUAUUGAUCCCUUUCUAUGUUUAUUUGAUUAUUAAUUUUAGUACUUAAGGACCGUCAACAAACUCCCCCAAGCUUACCCUUUGCUCGUCCCUGAGCAAACAACUAAACUCAGACGGAUCAGGAGUUGCUUCAAUGUUUUCUUUCCUGACAGGCACACAUGCUUUUACAUAAAAAUUCUUCCAGAUUAAAGUGAAGUGUUAUGGAGUUUAGUACCUGCACUUAAAUCUUAAGUAAUCAAAAGACAAAAUAGUUAAGUCAAGCACUAUUCCUCUUGUCUAUACUUCACUUUUGUUCUAGAGUUUUUCAUAAGUUUUCAAAAUGAAACUCAGAGUUCCCAGCAAUGAUUCUCUCAAGUCUCUCUAUAUGUGGUAUUUGUGGAUCCUUACCAUGAUAUCACUUACCUAUAGCUAAUGGAAUAUUUAAGUGGAGCUCAUAGGAGUGGAAAACAGCUCAUACAUAUAUUGUCUAAUCGAGCCAUGGAUCCAAAGGAACUCAGCAUAUAAUUAAAUCAAGAUGUGCAUGUGUGGUGGAGUAAAUGAUAAUGAUGGUGGAAAUGCAUAAGUGAUAAUAAAAUUUGAUUCUCAUUGCUCCUCAUAUUGCUAUCUCUCCUCUUCUUUGAUCUUUGCUUUGGGAGAACAUGGGCUAUCUCUUUUUCUUCUUCUUUUUUUUUCAGGUGGGUAGUGGAUACCCCUAAUUCUACUGUCGGACACUUGUCCAUUUUUUCCGCUCAAGUGGGCAUCUUUGUACCCCUAAUUCUACUUCGGACACUUGUCCAUUUUUACCUCUCGUCUCACUCUUUUUCAUUCUUUUUCGAGGUUCCGGGCACUUGCCCCUUUUUAUUUCCUCGCAUAUUUUUGCAUAACCCAUGCCUCUUCUGCAUUGAAUCUUUUUAGCGAGAGAAUAACAAUAUUCGGGACAGUGAGUGAUACUAUUUUUAGCAAUUUUAAUGAUUGGUGAUGAAUGCUGUGGUAGAUGUGUGCAAGUGAAUAUCUUCAUUUAACCACAUGAAAAGCUCCUAAGGGUCUACACAGCUCGAUCAAACUCAAUGUGAAUAUAGUAAAAGAUGUUAUAGCAAGUAUGGCUGUGGUAGGUAGUUUUGUUAUGCUAGGAACUCAUCAUGCGAUUUGUAAGUUUUCAAAAUAAAUCUCCAGAACUUAGUGUAGUAGAAACAAGAUAAACAGUAGCUCAACUUUAUAUCAUGCCUUUCUCUUACCUAGACUUUAGUUUUAUGCCUCCCAAAGAUAGUAAUUUUAGUUUUAGUAAUUCCUGGAAGAAUUCUAAUAUAAAAGCUAGGUACUUGUAAGUAAGCAAACAGAGCAACUAUUCAUCAUUUCCAUCAUGUAUAUUUUUGGUCUUUUUAUUUUUUCUAGAGAUUAAACUUAGCAGAAAAAAUAAAACACACUUAUCUACACACUCUUUUUAUUUUGUUUUCGUGUUUAUAAAGUGCAGUAAAUUAAAGCAAGAAAAUAUUUAUUUGGUUUUCUAAAUUUACCUUUUAAGGUAAACUAAAUAUUAGAAUAAAAAAGAAUAAAUAAGAAGAGCAAAUAAAAACUUACUUGAUAAAUUUAGGGAGGAACUCCCCCAAGCUAGAUGUUGACGUCGGUCUUACCCGAUGUUCCAGAACCGCAUCAUGGUUGUGAUGUUGUCGUUCAUUGUUGUUGUAUCUUGUCUCAGCUCUUCUACUGCAGCGGCAUGGUCCUGGUUCCAUUUUUGUUGUUCUUCCAGGAGUCUUCCAUGUUCUGCUUGCGUGUUCUGGAUGUCGAGGAGGGUGUUGUCGGUAUGAGUGAAGAAAGCACCGGCCUCUUGAUAAUAGUCAUUCGUGAAGGCGUAGGAGGCGUCGGAGUAUCGUCCUGCAUCAAAUUGGGGCGGAGGUCUGGAUCCUGAAGCUCCAUAUGGAUCAGUGGAGUACCUGCCCGUAUGAAAAGGCGGGUUUGUCCACUGGUGAUCUUGGCUCUCCGGCCAUGUCUCUUCUGUUGGCUCUUGUGGUUGCGCAUGACAAGCCCAUGGGUCUCGAAGGACUCGAGGGUUGUAAUCGCAAUAAUGCAGGUGCGAUGCUUCUUCUGGUCCAGGGUCAGCUCCAUACCAAGUGCGUUCUCGGUGAGUGGUUAUCCUUUCAGAUGCCACUCGCUGUGGAGUUCUCUGGUUCACUGGUGUUGCUGCAAUCUCAAUCAAAAAGUUUUGCACAGAGUAGAGGCCAAGGUUCGGGUUAGGUAACCAAAUCUUGCCUUUAUCAUCAUACAGCAUGUACAUUAUAUUUCCCUCUUUCUUUAACAUCCGAGCUUGUCUAAAUGUGUCAUAGCCAUGAUAAAUUCUUAAUUCUUCUAUGAAGUCCAACGAUGAGUUUUCUAAUAAAUGAAGAUUAGAGGCUAAACGAGUGAUAAGUGAAGUACAUCCUACUGGUCCCUGAAGACUAGGUAUACUAAGCCAAUGUGAAACUAAUAGUGUGACAGGUGAAGUGGGUACUUUACUAAUAGCAGCAUAUAAAAGUUGUAAAUCUCCUACUCUUACUUUCCUAAUAUCAUCGCGAUAGAAAAGAUUGUACCCAAGCCAUUUGUGGAACAUCCUAAGAGUGGGGUGUUCCAUGUCACUGGUUCGGGCUUGACUGUAAAAAUUAUCUCUAGAUAUUUCUCUCCAAAACUGGUGUCUCUCAAAAUUGGGUAAAUCGGAGUCAAUGUUCAGGAUGCAUCUUGAAGAGAAACCAAGAUGGUCGCUCAGCUCCCUCCAAGAUAACAUAAUUUCCUGUUUGAACAUCCGAAAAACAAUUCCCCCCUCAUAGUAUUGUAAGGUGCAAAGAAAUUCGAGGGUGAGAAGACGAGAACCCAGCUCAGUUAUAUUCCAAAAAUUUGUCCAACCCAUCAUUUGAAAAAUUAAGUCAAAUUCAGUGUCCAUACCUGUUUCUUGUAGUAGGGUUGGAUCGAGAGUAGGGGUGUGAAUGAAAUCUUUAUUCUUCAAUUGCUGAUAGACUUCCUUCUCUCUUCGGGUCUUCAGUCCAAGGUCUCCUAUCUUGAGAAGAACCUUAACUUGCUGACCUGAUGAAGAUGAUGGAGCUUGUGUGGGUGUCGGGUCGACGCUCAUCUCUGAUGGCUGUGAGGAGUGUCGGGUUGAACUCCUUGUACUAAUGUUCUUGAGAGCCUUCCCUGCAUUUUUCACCUUCUUAAACAUCCUGCAAACAAAAGUUGGCAAAAACACAACUGGUGGAAAAUGUGAGAUAAAAUGUUAGUGGUUAGCUGUCCGGAGUGUUAGUAGUCAAGGGGUUAAUUGUUCAAGACAAGUUUCUAUUUUGGUAGAGCCUCCCCCUAAACAACUUUUACUUCCGCUUAGACCACGGGAUCACUACUUGCUAGGUGACAAUCACUCUCUCAUAAGAACUCCAACCUUCUCUUCCACUCUCCUCUUUCUUUCUACUCUCUUCUCUUUACUACAAAAGCUCCUCCUCGGAAAACUGAGAUUUGUGUGGUUUUCUGAAGUGUUUGUGUGAAGAGAAGGGGAGCUGGAGGUGGCCUUUUAUAGGCUGAGCAGGGGACAGGGCGGGCGCCCUUGGUAGGUGGGCGGGCGCCCACUUGUGAUGCCCAUCCUGGGUGUGCCUCCUCCACUUGCUUCCUUGCUUUGAUCUCACGCAGAAUAAUAUUGUGUUGGUGGUGGUUGGACGGUGGAAAGAUGUCAAGUGAGUGGAAACAUAUUGGUGGAUGAAAUUAUGUGAUGGGAUGUAUGUGAGAUGAAGUGUAUGACAUGUGGGACCCAAAGAGUGUGGGUCAUGCUUCUAGAAGAUUUAUAUGAUUAAAUAUAAUGCAGGAAAAUCUAUGAGAAUCGAAACUUAUUGAAAAUGAUAUUGGAAAAUAUUUUUGUGCCCCCACAAUAAUUAAUAAAUAUGGGUUGUUACACACCACGAAUAUUAUUUAUCUGGGGCUUUUUGAUUAUUAUAAUAAUGCUAUGAAUAAAUGUGACUAAUGCAAGAUUUAAUUAUGCAAGAAAUUAAAUAUGAGAAAAAUAAUAAUGCGGAUAAAUACCGAUUUACCUCCUGGUGAGGGUUUGGGAUUUUUAGGUCCCCCAAGCUGGACCUCCAAUUCUUUUAAUCUUCUGAGUUUCCUUCCUCCGGAGAUGGUGUCUCCAGUGGUUCUUCUUGAACUUCCUUCACUGUAGAGUCUCUCUCUAAUCUGGGUUUGAAUGUGAAGUGUUCUUCUUGACCGUUUAUGUUGAACUUGAUUUCUCCUUUUCCGACAUCAAUGUGGGCAUUGGCAGUGCUCAGAAAUGGCCUUCCAAGGAUGAUGGAUACUUUUGAGUCAGGACUCAUGUCCAGUACUACGAAGUCUACUGGCACAAGGAAAUCUCUGAUCUUGACUGGAAUGUUCUCGGCGAUGCCCAACGGGUGUCGAACCGAUUGAUCCGCUAGUUGUAGGCACAUUGAUGUUGGUUCUAGGGUUGCAUGAUCAAGCUUUUUGUAGACUGAUGCUGGCAUCACACUGACACUUGCUCCGAGAUCACAAAGUGUAUUGUUGAAGUGUUGGUUUCCGAUCGAGCAGUCAAUAGUGGGGCAUCCUGGAUCUUCCUUCUUCUUUGGUGGUUUGUUGAGGAUGGCCGCACUACAUUCUUCUGUCAGCUUGAUAACCUCAGUGGUGGGCUGUGGUCUCUUCUUGUUAAGAAUAUCUCUGAUGUACUUUGCAUAUGUAGGUACCUGUAUGGCAUCGAGUAGAGGUAUGUUGACAUAUAAUUUCUGAAUGACCUCUACAAACUCACCAAACUGCUCAUCCGACUGCAGUCCUCUGUUUCUUCUGGGAAAUGGCAAAUAGUUGGUGUCGUAAAAAUCUUUCCUCAUUUCUCUAGCUCUUGGUGGUUGGAGCAGAUCUUCUGCUUCAACUGGGCCUUCUUCUUCUAUUACUGCUGGUUGCACUGGUGCUGAUGUUCUUUGUUUCUCUUUUGGGUAUGGUGGAUCUCUGGUAGCUUUGCCUCCUCUAGUAGUUAUAUUCUUUACCUGCUCAAUGUUAGUAGCAACAGGCAGUGCAGCAGCUAUCUUUAUUAAUUUAAGUUCUACCCUUUUAUUAAGAGUGUUUUGCUCAUCAAAGGCAGUUAGUAGAAAAUCCAUUUUAUUGUGUAUAUCUUUUAGAGAUGAUUCAUUUGUAUCUAGCCUUUGUUUAACUUCAUCAUUAAUUUUGGUUUGUUGAGCAAUUAUCUCUUUUAAUGAAAGUUGCUUAACAAUAUUACCUGAAUUCAUACCUUUGCUAUUGGGUUGACUUGAAGUUGGUUGAUAUUUGUAUGCUGUCUCAAUGGCCCUUUGAUCUUCUUUGAACUUGGCCCUCUGGUCAAUCCAAUGGAGCAAAUUUUCCAUCUUAGCUGAUAAUGCAUUUACUUCUUCUGGUAUUUCUUCAGUUUGAUGACAUUGUUGAGCUUUAUCUUGGAACCAGCUUUGGUUUUCUGCUAUCUUAUCCAAAAGUAUCUCUGCUUUUCCAGUUGUAAGCUCCAAGAAUGAUCCUUUAGCAGAUGCAUCUAGGCACUCACGAGUCUUCUGGGUUAAUCCAUGGUAGAAGGUCUGCAUAAGUAACCAUGUGGCCAUUCCAUGGUGAGGACAAUUUGAUAUGUAUCCUUGAAAACGCUUCCAUGCUUCUGAAAUGGCUUCUGUCUUCUGCUGUUGGAAACUGACAAUAUUUCCUCUUAAGGCAGUUGUUUUGCCUAUAGGGAAAAACUUUGAUAGAAAGGCAUUUGACAAGUUCGUCCAGUUGUUGAUGUUAUCUUGAUGAGUGUAGAACCACUUCCUCGCUUUUCCUUCUAGUGAGAAUGGAAAAAGGCGAAGCAGUAUGACGUCUUUGUCAACUCCGUUGAUGUGGAUUGUGCUCCCAAUCUCUAAGAAAUUCUGCAAGUGUGCACUGGCAUCUUCAUGUGCCUUUCCACUGAAUUGUGUAGCUUGCACCAAAUUGAUGAGGCUUGACUUGAGCUCAAACUUGGGUAUUCCUUCUUCUACUGCAAAUCUUGGACCAGUUGGAAUGUUGUCAAGACUUGGAGCAGAGAAUUCUUGCAAGGUCUUUUGUGCCAUAGCUUCAGCAAUUGGUAGCUAGCUUCUUCUUCUCUUGAUUGCUUUGGUUCUGAUGAUGAAGAGUUGAAUGUACCCAAAGUCAAUCCUGUCAUACCCUGUAUAAAAAUAUAAACAUAGAAAAACAACAGGGUGAACCUGCCAAAGCAGAGGUGCCUUGUUAUGAUUUCUCACUUAGUAGCUGUUUUAUGCAAUUAUUUCUCUAUAGUCUAGUCUAAAAUUUUAUAUGAAUAACCUUGAUUGAUUUUCUGGCUUUCCUUAAUAUUACCCUUUUGUUCCCUUUAAUGACUUAUUCCUGAGACUCAUAUAAUUCAUAUAAGUCCUAUAGUUCCCCGGCAACGGCGCCAGAAAUGCUUGUUGACACUAGCUAACACCACUUAGAUACUAGGUUGUCAUCCCUAGCAUGGCGCCAGAGUGUACAAAGGUAUUUAUAAAUGUAAAGGCUCUCUAGAAAAUAAUCUAUUCUAUCUGCAAGCGCACAGAUAAAACACCUCAUUGUAGCAUUUCACUAGGAUAAGUAUUCCAGGUAUCGUUAUUUAUAAUUUUGCUCUAGGGAUCUAAAGAAGAUGGAAUUAAAUCAAGGGACAAAAUCUAUCAAGGCAUAGACUAGAGAUAAACUUGCAAGAACAUGAUUACUAAUGAGAAACUCGUCACACAGUCACUUACUUUAGCAGGGGGUAAACCAUAAAGAUAAUGAUAAUAAAGUAUAAGUUCAUGGGUAGAUAGCACAGCGAUUAGAAAAUAGACUACUCCUCAUAUAUGUAGGUGAUGUCGGAUUAGCUAGAGAAUGGAUUCUAAGUUAUCUACUAACUACUAAGUCAUAAUCUACUCUAGUUAUCUACAAGAUUAUAUAUAGCAUAAAAGACUCUUCAUUCAUGUAUAAGGAACAUUGAUAAAGUAAAUCAGAACAUCGCAUGACUUACUCCACAAUACCGGUUCUGCCUGUCCUAGCAACGGAGGGUGGACUAUAUAAGAAUCAACGAAGCUGUCACUAUCGCGAACUACCACACGACUCGGCCAAUAGGAUACAUUUGCAGAUAAAUAACAUCUAAGCACCACGCUCACAUGUGAUCUAUCACCUAACUCCCUCGCGUCAAGAGCUAAGCGCUUUGCAAACUUAUACAUAAACUCAUUAUCAAUUAGAACUAUAUCAAAUAUAGAACUAGAGCAAACUAAGAACAUAAUAAUUAGAGACAUAAUGCAAUUAGAACAAUAGAAUUAGAGAAAAAUAUGAAUAAUACCAAUCUUUAUUACCGAAGAUCCGAAUCCAGAGCGUAGUGCUCUACUUCUCUAAUUGCUAUCUAAUCAAACCUCUAAACUUGAAGGAUUAGGGAGUAGCUAAUUCUAAUUCUCUGUGGGAGAGAGAUCUAAACCCUAACUUUGAUGGCUACCUCUGAAUAAUGAUUUCUCCUCCCUCCUCUAGGGGCCAGGGGGUCUGGUUUUAUAGUCCCCUCAAGUGAACGUGAGCCAUUGGAUCAAACCGACAUAGAUUGUAUGGUUUAGAUUGAUCCUUUAGGUCGGUGGAGCGUUGUCCCGAAGCAGAGUCCUGAUUGGCCUCCAACCCUGGGCGGGCGCCCAAGGGGGGUGGGCGGCCGCCCAGCUCCCGAGCCCGAAUCGCGUCCCGUUCGUUCCCGUGGCUUCUGGAUCCUUCUAGAUUGAGGAAAAUUGCGCGGCACGUAAUUAUCUCGUUGUAAACAUGACAUGUGGGCCUUCUCUCCAUAUUUUCUGAUAAACCCCUGCAGAUAAAACCCUAAUUCUAGAUGUUUGUUUCAUAUUGAUCCUUUUUCUAUGUUUAUUUGAUUAUUAAUUUUAGUACUUAAGGACCGUCAACAUUUAGGAGCGGUUUUGGUCCCAGUUUCACAAUGACUUCUAUGAGUCCGUCCUCUACAAAGCCAGCAAAGUCACCAAGAAUAGUCCCCUUUUUCGGCACAAGUAUGUGGUCCUCAAGUCCUUGCAAGACUUCAAUCACCCUGAGGUCAAUGCUUUGAUUCACAAGCUUGAAGAAUGGCAGAUCCUUCCCCUUAUGACCCUUGAGAAGAAUUGGAAUGAAGAGAUCAUCUUUCAGUUUUGGGCAACAUUGUGGGAUGAUCAAGCUUCUAGGGUGCUGCAUUGGAUGACUCAAGGUGUUUAUUAUCACCUUGACUUUAUCACCUUCUCUCGCCUGCUUGGUUUUGAUCAUGCGGAUCGUGAUUGUUGGGUAUUCUUAACAUCAUUACCAAAAGUAGACUAAGUUCUCUAAAUCUAGUAACGGUGCCAAAAACGCCAAACCUAUCCCUCACACCACUUAAGCCAAGUUGUCAUCCCCAGCAUGAUAUAAGAGACGUGGUAUUGAAAUAUGCAAUUGCUCUUCUAAAUAAAUAAUGAAUGGGAUCUGCAAGCGCACAGAUUAAUACCGAUGUAGCAUUUUAACCGGGAAGUAUUCCAGGUAUCGUUAUUUAUAUUUUUACAACUGGGAAGGGAUUAACAAUCAUCAAUAUUGAUUACAGAAUAGAAUAUGAGAUUGAGCAUCUAUCAUUGCAUGUAUAAUUGAGAACAUUAUAUCUAACUCUUCAUACAGGGAUAAGUGUCACAUAAAAGAUAUAUGAGGUAAUAAUAGUGACAAAGAUAAUUAAUCUGAUCUAGCCACAUAAUAAAUAUGAUAAGCACCUCAAUUAGAUAUUCUAGAAAGUCAUUAGCAUGGUAUUAGAACGAACUACAAGAAUAUUCCCUAAGUUAUUCUCAACUAUAUAGUCUAGCAUUAUCAUAAUUAGUGCAAGCAUACUUAGCAAUCAUUGCAAGACAAGACUACGCCCAUGCAUAGUGAUAUUAGCAAGGUAAAUGAGAAACAUAGCAAUCACUCCCCUGUAAUAAUGUUGCUCUUCCAGCCCAAUACACGAUAGGGGGACUAUAUAAAAAUCAAUGAAGCUGUCACUAUCACGAACCACCCCACGAUCUGGCAUAUUGGGUACAAUCGCAGAUAAAUACGGUAUAAGCACCACGCCUACACAAUAUCUAUCAUUUACCCAUGGAUCCGAUAGAUAAACGCUAUACGAUCCUAAGCAUGUAUAUAGAUCCAAUCUAACUAAGCCAAGUACAUAACUAUGAUAAACUAAGAACAAUAUAAUCUUGAAUAUAAGCAAGUAGAGCAAAGUCAUAAGCAAUAUAUUGAAGUAGAACAAAGUCAUAUUCAUAAUAUUGAAGAACAAAGAUAAUUAGAAAGUAAUUAGAAGCACAAUUAGAGAAUUACCAAGAAACCUCCUGACAGAUCCGGAAACCAAUCGAAGAUUGACUCCUUCUAGUUCUAAUCCUAUGUAGCCAUGCUAAUCUAGAUAUCUAAUUGAUGUGGUGGCUCUAAUCUUGAUCAGAUCAUUACCAAAAGUAGACUAAGUUCUCUAAAUCUAGUAACGGUGCCAAAAACGCCAAACCUAUCCCUCACACCACUUAAGUCAAGUUGUCAUCCCCAGUGUUGGGUAUUCUUAACAUCAUUACUAAAAGUAGACUAAGUUCUCUAAAUCUAGCAACGGUGCCAAAAAUGCCAAACCUAUCCCUUACACCACUUAAGCCAAGUUGUCAUCCCCAGCAUGAUAUAAGAGACGCGGUAUUGAAAUAUGCAAUUGCCCUUCUAAAUAAAUAAUGAAUGGGAUCUGCAAGCGCACAGAUUAAUACCGAUGUAGCAUUUUAACCGGGAAGUAUUCCAGGUAUCGUUAUUUAUAUUUUUACCACUGGGAAGGGAUUAGAAAUCAUCACUAAUGAUUACAGAAUAGAAUAUGAGAAUGAGCAUCUAUCAUUGCAUGUAUAAUUGAGAACAUUAUAUCUAACUCAUCAUACAGGGAUAAGUGUCACAUAAAAGAUAUAUGAAAUAAUAAUAGUGACAAGGAUAACUAAUCUGAUCUAGCCACAUAAUAAAUAUGAUAAGCACCUCAAUUAGAUACUCUAGAAAGUCAUUAGCAUGGUAUUAGAACGAACUACAAGAAUAUUCCCUAAGUUAUUCUUAACUAUAUAGUCUAGCAUUAUCAUAAUUAGUGCAAGCAUACUUAGCAAUCAUUGCAAGACAAGACUACGCCCAUGCAUAGUGAUAUUAGCAAGGAAUAUGAGAAACAUAGCAAUCACUCCCCUGUAAUAAUGUUGCUCUGCCAGCCCAAUACACGAGAGGGGGACUAUAUAAGAAUCAAUGAAGCUGUCACUAUCACGAACCACCCCACGAUCUGGCAUAUUGGGUACAAUCGCAGAUAAAUACUGUAUAAGCACCACGCCUACACAAUAUCUAUCAUUUACCCAUGGAUCCGAUGGAUAAACGCUAUACGAUCCUAAGCAUGUAUAUAGAUCGUAUCUAACUAAGCCAAGUACAUAACUAUGAUAAACUAAGAACAAUAUAAUCUUGAAUAUAAGCAAGUAGAGCAAAGUCAUAAGCAAUAUAUUGAAGUAGAACAAAGUCAUAUUCAUAAUAUUGAAGAACAAAGAUAAUUAGAAAGCAAUUAGAAGCACAAUUAGAGAAUUACCAAGAAUCCUCUUGACAGAUCCAGAAACCAAUCGAAGAUUGACUCCUUCUAGUUCUAAUCCUAUGUAGCUAUGCUAAUCUAGAUAUCUAAUUGAUGUGGUGGCUCUAAUCUCGAUCAGAGGCUUCUUCUCCCUUGAUGGAACAAUAAAUUAGGGUUGAGAGGCUCUCUCCUCCAGGGGCCAGGGGGUCUGGUUUUAUAGUCCCUCCAAGUGAAUAUGGGCCCUUGGAUCAAACCGACAUAGAUUGUAUGGUUUAGAUUCAUCCUUUAGGUCGGUGGAGACUUCCCGCAAAGCAGAGUCCUGAUUGGACUUGGGAGCAGGGCGGGCGCCCAGUAGGACAGGGCGGGUGCCUUGCCUCUGGCCCCGUUUUGCCUCCGCUUCGGUCUCGUGGCUUCUGGAGUCUUCUAGAUGUAAGAUAAUUGCGCACCACGUUAAUAUCUUUACGUAAUCCUGACAUGUGGGCCUUUCUUCCAUAUUUCCUGAUAACACCUUGCAGAAAUAGACAAACACCAAAACUCGUGGAAUUCUGUCAGAUAAAACCCUAAGUCUAGAUCUUGAUUCCAUUUGGAUCCUUUUCUUUAUUUAUUUGAUAAUUAAAUUUGAUACUUAAGGACCGUCAACAAACUCCCUCAAGCUUACCUCUUGCUUGUCCCUGAGCAAGGAUAGACUUAGCUAUGGAUCAUAAGUUGUUGCAAUAUCUUUUUAAAAAUUUGACGGUACACAUGCUUUUAAAUAAGAUCUCAUCUCUGAGUUAGAGUAAACUGUCAAGACUUAAAACUUACUUACUUUACCUUCACCAUGGGACUUGUAACUGUCACUUCUGUCUUGAGUGGUUAAAAGAUAGAACAGUCUAGUCAAGUGCCAUGUCUCUUAUUCUUGAUCAGCUAUAGCUCUGGGGUUUUUGCAGAUUUUCAAAUAAAACUCAGAGUUUCCUUGUAUGAUUCUCUCAGGUCUCUCUUUUGUGGUAUUUUUGGAUCCUUACCAAGGCAUUGAUGGUAUAUGCCUUCUCUCAAGAUAUGUGGUAUUUGUGGUAUGAGGCAUAGUGAUAUUGCCUUCUCUCUCACCCUACUCUACUAAGGCUUUAAUAUCUGGAGCUCAUAGGUGGGAGAUAAAGUAUAGAUACUUACAAGACAUUUAUUGCAUAGUCAAACCAUGGAUCCAAAGUAACAAGUCAAUAAGUUUAAUCAAGAUGUGCAUGUGUGGCGAAUGAAUGGUGUAUGGUGAUGAUGGUGAUAACAACGGUGAAAACAAUGGUGGUGGAAGUCUAAUUCUACUUUGCUCUUUUGAGGGGAUACAUACCUUCCUUGCUUUUGAAACUUUAUGAGGAGAAUGAGAUGCUCUUCUUUUUCUUUUCUCUCAGGUGGGUAUCUUGUACCCCUAAUUCUACUGUCGGACACUUGUCCAUUUUUACCUCUCGUCUCACUUUUUCUUUUCUUUCGAGGUUCCGAGCACUUGCUCCUUUUUAUUUCCUUGUAUUAUUUCUUCUUUUUUUAGAGCACUCAUCUCUUGAGAUAAUAUAGCAAGUGGUAGUAACAAGAUAACUUGAGCAUUUAUUUCACAAGGGAAAACAGAAAAUAUUUUUGGUUUUUCUCUCCCGGAUUAGGAGUAGAAUAUUUUUAGGUGGUUCUGGAGAUGGAAUGGGUGGAUAUAUGUGGAUGGUACUUCCGGAGUAGAAGUAGCAUAUAUGAGUGAACGUGCAAGUGAAAUCUUGAUUUAACCGCAUGACAAGCUCCUAAGGGUCUACACAGCUUGACCACACUCAAUGCUCAUAAGCAGUAAAUAGUAAAUGUGUGGCUCAAAGUCUAGCAAGCAUGUAUAUAUGGCUGUGGUAGGAAUUUUAAGCUCUCAUCAUACAGGAACUUAUCAUGCAACAUUUUAAAGAUUUUCAAAGAUAAAAUUCUCCAGAAUUCUAGCAUCUCUAGGAACAGAUAAACAGCAGCUCAACCUUCCCAUAUCGUAUCCGUUAACAACUUAGACUUCAGAUCAAGUUUUCAUCCCACAAGUUUAGGUCUAGAGCAAGCUUUAAAUUAUAACAGUUAUAUCUAAACUUGAGAGAGAACUUAAAAUUUGCAAAUUAGGCAGAGCAACUAUUUAUCAUAACCAUGCUUAAGUUUUAUUUAGAUACAGAUUAGCAUAGCCACUUUAUUUAUUUAUUAAACACACUAAGCAAAAGAUAUAUAUAUAAGCUUAAAAUCUUUAUUUGGUUUUCCCAUAGUUUAUGUAUUUUAAUAUUCUAAAAUAAUGUAAGUAUAAAGAUAGAUAGAAAUACUUAUCGAGAUAAAUGGGGGUGCUCUCCCCCAAGCUGAAUUUUGACGUAAUUUCUCUUGAUGUAGCUAACAGGUGGCAGAGGUGUAUUUGAAAGUCAGCAGCAUUCUGACAGCGAUUAGAAUGUCCUCCGUCUGCUAGUCUUCUUGAUUCUUAAAUUCUGUGGAGCUCAAAUAGACAACAAAGCUUGUGGAACUGAUUAAGUGUUAGCAUAAAUAUAUAGCCUUCAUCAUCUUGAGACUCCUUAAUAAUUAUUACUCCCUGUUUUUAUAUUUUUAUUUUAUAAAGCAGAAAAAUAUUUAUUUUAUUUUUAUGCCACCACAGUGAAUGUACGUAUGGGUUUUAUGCCACUCGUAUACUCUCAUGGGGCUUACUGUUUUUUCAUAUUUUUUUUUUCUUUUUAAGAUAGUGUGAAUAUGAUUAACUAAGUAAACUAUUUGAAGUAACUGAAAGAAAGGAUAACUACCAAGUUUACCUCUUGGCAAGGCGUUCGGUGUUUUUUUUAAGUCCUCCGAACGGGACUCUCCAAUUUCUUAAUCGUCCUGAGGUUCGUUGGGUGGCGUAGUCGGUACUUCCGGCAGCGCCUCCUCUUCUUGUAUAGUUAUCUUCAUUUUCCAUACCUGACUCGGUGCUUCAAUCUCCUCUGGAUAAUUCUGUUUAAACUCUACGUCUUCUGACCUUACAACUUCUCCUUCAUAGUCUGCCCAUCCGUCCUUGAUGAUCUGCCUCCUCUGGUUGCGGUUGCGUCUCUUUCUGACCUGCUUAGAUUCUUCAACGAUAUAGCUAGGGUCAGUAAAAUAACGGCGUACCUUCUCUGAGGGGAAGUGCAUAUGGACUUCUCCGGUUCCAAUGUAGAUAAUUGCUUUAACGGUGCUGAGGAACGGCCUUCCAAGGAUGAUGGGUGGAUCAUACUCGUCUUCUCCCAUGUCAACAACAUGAAAGUCUGUGUAGACAAAGUGAUCGUCUAUUUUGACUGGGACAUUAGAUACUAUUCCUUUAACUUCUCGAAAUGUCUGAUCUGCCAUCUGGAGCUGAAUGUAUGUUGGUCUUAGUGGCAUGGUCCCGAACAAGAGCCGAUAGUUGACUGCGGCCAUUAUGUUGACGCCUGAUCCGGUGUCGCAAAUCGUCUUGUAGAAGUUAUAUCCAUUUAUGGAGCAGUAAAUGCUUGGCAUUCCUGGGUCAUCCUUCUUGGUCAAAAACGGUGACUUCAGUUGGUGAUCUUGGCCUCCAUGGACUACAGUGACCAUCUUAGCUGACUCGGUCCACACUUGCUUGUUCCUGUUCCUCCUGUUGGUCCUCUUCCUUGAUCCACGUCUGGAUUGAUUUGGAAUUUGUGUAGUCUUGUUCUUGAAGAAAAAUGUCUCCUUCUUCCCUUUGACGUAGAAACUGAUCUUGGCAGCACUGGCGUAGAUGAUAGCUCCCGUGGUGUUCAAGAAUGGCCUCCCUGAGAUGAUAGGUGCUCUUUCAUCAUUUCCGGUCUCUACCACUACGAAGUCUGCUGGUGCAUACAAGGUACCAACUCGGACACAAAGGUUCCUCACUAUUCCUUUUGGAAAAGUUAUCGUCUGAUCUGCAAACUGCAAACACAUGGUUGUCUCUAAUAAAGGAUAUGUAAAGAAUUUUUCAUAGAGUACCCUGGGUAUAAUGUUGACGCUAGAGCCAAAGUCGCAGAGUGCUUCUGGGACGUCCACCAAGCCGAUGGAGAUCGGGAUGACGGGGCGUCCUGGAUCGCCUCUCUUGACCGGCAGACGGUCAGUAGAAAAUUCAGUGAUGGGGUUACUCCAAUUACCUGCAUCAAACAUGUCUACAAGAUUUGCAGAUUCUAAUCCUUCCGGUUGUGAUGGUAUACCAGGGUUAGUAGUAGGAACAGCAGCAGCUAUUUGAUUUAACUGAGAUUCAAUCAUUUUAUUAAAGCUAAUUUGAUUCUUGAUGGCAGUAGAAAAAUUAUCCAUUCUAUUAUUUAUAUUUUCUAGCAUUUUAUCAUUAGAUGCCAAUUUCUUAGAUAGAUUAUCCAUUAGCUUUCCUUGAUUAGACACUAACUCUCUCAAAGGUGGAAAAUUAUUAUUGUUGUAAGAAUUGUUACCUUGAUAAUUACCUGAGUAGUUAGGCCUCUGUUGAUUCCAACCUUGAUAUUGUUGAGGACGGUUGUAGUAGUUGUUGUUGUUGUUGUUGUUGAUGUAGUUCACAUCCUCAAGUAUCUCAGGGCAGUGGUUGCCUGAGUGUCCAGUGUCUCCACACUCCUCACAAGUCAUGUGAGAGUCGUAGAUGUGCAUAACUUCUUUCUUGUCUCCAGCUCUAUCGUCGAGCUUCUUCAUGAGUAGGUCUAGCUUUGCAGACAGCAUGUCUACCUCCUUCAGCUGAUGCAUACCUCCACCUCUCUUGCGUGUCUGGGUCCUCUCUUCAUUCCAGCUUUGAUUGGACGCCAUCUUCUCCACAAGAGCUGUGGCUUGUGGUAUAGUAAGUGAUAAGAAUGCUCCUCCAGCUGCAGCAUCCAUGGUCUCUCGGGCACUGUUGCUGAGCCUAUGAUAAAACGUCUGCAUCAAUAGCCAACUCUCCAUUCCAUGAUGGGGACAUUCUAGGAUGUAGUCUUGAAAGCGCUCCCAUGCUUCUGUAACAGAUUCAUCAUUUUGUUGCUGAAAACUUGUAAUCUUCCCACGGAGAGCAUUGGUCUUGCCCAUGGGAAAGAACUUAGCCAGGAAGUUUGUUGAGCAGAGUGCCCACGUAGUAUUCUUCUCCUUUGUAGCGUAGAACCACUGCUUCGCUCUUCCUAACAGUGAGAAUGGGGAGAGGCGAAGUAGUAUAGCGUCUUUGGAAACUCCUGCUAUGGUGAAUGUGUUGCAAAUCUCCAGGAAGUGUUGUAAAUGAGCACUAGCAUCUUCGUGUGCCUUCCCACAGAACUGGUUGGAUUGCACCAUGUUGAUAAGUCCAGGCUUGAGCUCAAAGUUGCCAUCGAUCUCUGCAGCAGGUCCAGUGCGGAUGUUGUCCGUAGUGGGAGCUGAGAACUCGCGGAUUGAUUUGUUCGCCAUGGCUUCGAACUCUGAAAACAAGUUCCGGUGAUCUUCUUGAUUGGAUGAAGCUUCUUGCUGAAGUGUUGAUGAUUUAUUUAGCUUGGCCCUCGUCUUCUUGAAUAAUGCUUCAGGAUCGUCAACAAAAUUCCCUAGAAGAUGUCUUCUAUUCAUACAUUCCCCUGCAUAAGAUAAAAUAGAAAAAUAUCGGGGUAAAACUGUAUGAGAGAAUAGAUAAGCUCAAUCAUAUUAGUGAUGCGAAUGAUUACUCUAAAUCUUUUAUUCCAUUCCUGAUUGGUAAUCAACCUUCCCCGGCAACAGCGCCAAAAAUGCUUGUUGGGUAUUCUUAACAUCAUUACUAAAAGUAGACUAAGUUCUCUAAAUCUAGCAACGGUGCCAAAAAUGCCAAACAUAUCCCUUACACCACUUAAGCCAAGUUGUCAUCCCCAGCUUGAUAUAAGAGACGCGGUAUUGAAAUAUGCAAUUGCUCUUCUAAAUAAAUAAUGAAUGGGAUCUGCAAGCGCACAGAUUAAUACCGAUGUAGCAUUUUAACCGGGAAGUAUUCCAGGUAUCGUUAUUUAUAUUUUUACCACUGGGAAGGGAUUAGAAAUCAUCACUAAUGAUUACAGAAUAGAAUAUGAGAAUGAGCAUCUAUCAUUGCAUGUAUAAUUGAGAACAUUAUAUCUAAUGAUUACAGAAUAGAAUAUUAGAACGAACUACAAGAAUAUUACCUAAGUUAUUCUUAACUAUAUAGUCUAGCAUUAUCAUAAUUAGUGCAAGCAUACUUAGCAAUCAUUGCAAGACAAGACUACGCCCAUGCAUAGUGAUAUUAGCAAGGAAUAUGAGAAACAUAGCAAUCACUCCCCUGUAAUAAUGUUGCUCUGCCAGCCCAAUACACGAGAGGGGGACUAUAUAAGAAUCAAUGAAGCUGUCACUAUCACGAACCACCCCACGAUCUGGCAUAUUGGGUACAAUCGCAGAUAAAUAUGGUAUAAGCACCACGCCUACACAAUAUCUAUCAUUUACCCAUGGAUCCGAUGGAUAAACACUAUACGAUCCUAAGCAUGUAUAUAGAUCCAAUCUAACUAAGCCAAGUACAUAACUAUGAUAAACUAAGAACAAUAUAAUCUUGAAUAUAAGCAAAUAGAGCAAAGUCAUAAGCAAUAUAUUGAAGUAGAACAAAGUCAUAUUCAUAAUAUUGAAGAACAAAGAUAAUUAGAAAGUAAUUAGAAGCACAAUUAGAGAAUUACCAAGAAUCCUCCUGACAGAUCCGGAAACCAAUCGAAGAUUGAAUCCUUCUAGUUCUAAUCCUAUGUAGCUAUGCUAAUCUAGAUAUCUAAUUGAUGUGGUAGCUCUAAUCUUGAUCAGCGGCUUCUUCUCCCUUAAGGAACAAUGAAUUAGGGUUGAGAGGCUCUCUCCUCCAGGGGCCAGGGGGUCUGGUUUUAUAGUCCCUUCAAGUGAAUAUGGGCCGUUGGGUCAAACCGACAUAGAUUGUAUGGUUUAGAUUCAUCCUUUAGGUCGGUGGAGAUCUCCCACGAAGUAGAGUCCUGAUUGGACUCAGGGAGGGGGCGGGCGCCCAGGAGAACAGGGCGGGCGCCCUUCCUCUGGCCCCGUUUCGCCUCCGCUUCGGUCUCGUGGCUUCUGGAGUCAUCUAGAUGUAAGAUAAUUGCGCGGCACGUUAAUAUCUUUAUGUAAUCCCGACGUGUGGGCCUUUCUUCCGUAUUUCCAGAUACCCCCCUGCAGAAAUAGACAAACACCAAAACUCAUGGAAUUCUGUCAGAUAAAACCCUAAGUCUAGAUGUUGAUUUCAUUUAGAUCCUUUUCUUUGUUUAUUUGAUAAUUAAAUUUGAUACUUAAGGACCGUCAACAAACUCCCCCAAGCUUACCUCUUGCUCGUCCCUGAGCAAGGAUAGACUCAGCUAUGGAUCAUAAGUUGUUGCAAUAUCUUUAAAAAUGGACGGUACACAUGCUUUUUAAAUAAGAUCUCAUCUCUGAGUUAGAGUAAACUGUCAAGACUUAAAACUUACUUACUUUAUCUUUCACCAUGGGACUUGCAACCGUCACUUCUGUCUUGAGUAGUUAAAAGAUAGAACAGUCUAGCCAAGUGCCAUGUCUCUUAUUCUUGAUCAGCUAUAGCUCUGGGGUUUUUGCAAAUUUUCAAAUAAAACUCAGAAAUUCCUUGUAUGAUUCUCUCAGAUCUCUCUUUUGUGGUAUUUUUGGAUCCUUACCAAGGCAGUGAUGGUAUAUGCCUUCUCUCAAGAUAUGUAGUAUUUGUGGUAUAGUGACAUUGCCUUCUCUCUCACCAUACUCUAAUAAGUGGGAGAUAAAGUAUACAUACUUACAAGACAUUUAUUGCAUAGUCAAACCAUGGAUCCAAAGAAACAAAUCAAUAAGUCAAAUCAAGAUGUGCAUGUGUGGCGAAUGAAUGGUGUAUGGUGAUGAUGGUGAUAACAAUGGUGGAAGUCUAAUUCUACUUUUGCUCUUUGAGGGGAUACAUACCUUCCUUGCUUUUUGAAUAGUGAGGAGAAUGAGAUGCUCUUCUUUUUUUUCUUUUCUCUCAGGUGGGUAUCUUGUACCCCUAAUUAUACUGUCGGACACUUGUCCAUUUUUACCUCUUGUCUCACUUUUUCUUUUCUUUCGAGGUUCCGAGCACUUGCUCCUUUUUAUUUCCUCGUAUUUCUUUUUUCUCUCUCUUUUUUUUAGAGCACUCAUCUCUUGAGAUAAUAUAGCAAGUGGUAGUAACAAGAUAACUGGAGCAUUUAUUUCACAAGGGAAAAUAGAAAUAUUUUUAGUUAUUCUCUCCCGGAUUAGGAGUAGAAUAUUUUUAAGUGAUUCUGGAGAUGGAAUGGGUGGAUAUAUGUAGAUGGUACUUCCGGAGUGGAAGUAGCAUGUAUGAGUGAACGUGCAAGUGAAAUCUUGAUUUAACCACAUGACAAGCUCCUAAGGGUCUACACAGCUUGACCACACUCAAUGCUCAUAAGCAGUAAAUAAUAAAUGUGUGGCUCAAAGUCUAGCAAGCAUGUAUAUAUGGCUGUGGUAGGAAUUUAAACUCUCAUCAUACAGGAACUCAUCAUGCAACAUUUUAAAGAUUUUCAAAGAUAAAAUUCUCCAGAAUUCUAGCAUCUCUAGAAACAGAUAAACAGCAGCUCAACCUUCCCAUAUCGUAUCCGUUAACAACUUAGACUUCAGAUCAAGUUUUCAUCCCACAAGUUUAGGUCUAGAGCAAGAUUUAAAUUAUAACAGUUAUGUCUAAACUUGAGAGAGAACUUAAAAUGUGCAAAUUAGGCAGAGCAACUAUUCAUCAUAUCCAUGCUUAAGUUUUAUUUAGAUACAGAUUAGCAUAGCCACUUUAUUUAUUUAUUAAACACACUAAGCAAAAGAUAUAUAUAUAUAAACAUAAAAUCUUUAUUUGGUUAUGUAUAUUUAUAUUCUAAAAUAAUAUAGGUAUAAAGAUAGAUAAAAAUACUUAUCGGGAUAAAUGGGGGUGCUCUCCCCCAAGCUGAAUUUUGACGUAAUUUCUCUUGAUGUAGCUAGCAGGUGGCAGAGGUGUAUUUGAAAGUCAGCAGCAUUCUGACAGCGAUUAGAAUGUCCUCCGUCCGCUGUUGACGGUCCUUAAGUAUCAAAUUUAAUUAUCAAAUAAACAAAGAAAAGGAUCCAAAUGAAAUCAACAUCUAGACUUAGUGUUUUAUCUGACAGAAUUCCACGAGUUUUGGUGUUUGUCUAUUUUUGCAGGGGGUUAUCAGGAAAUAAGAAAGAAAGGCCCACAUGUCAGGAUUACAUAGAGAUAUCAACGCACCGCGCAAUUUUCUACCAUCUAGAAGACUCCAGAAGCCACGAGACCGAAGCGGAGGCGAAACGGGGCCAGGACCUGGGCGCCCGCCCAGUUUCCUUGGGCGCCCGCCCACCUGCCGAGCCCAAUCAGGACUCUUUCUCUCGGGAGAUCUCCACCGACCUAUUGGAUCCAGAAUAACAUAGUACCACAUCGCCUACCGACCCAAAAAUGCAUAGAAGGGGAGGACUAUAUAAGGAGACCCCCCUGGCCCCUAGAGAAGACAAGAAAUUAUCAUAGAGAUUGAGGGGUGCCCUCGAAGGAAAACCUCUUCUCUAAAUAAUAUUUCUUUUUAGGCUUAGCAACCAAUGUAAAGUAGAAAUAGAUCUUCUAGUUUCUACUAGAUUGAGAGAGAUAGAGUGGAGGUGUAGAUCGGAGGAAGGCCGGCCUGUCGGUGUCUACUCCGAGUUGUACCUGCGGGAUCAAGUCUCCUAACCCGAGGCUUGCUUCUAAGAUUCUUCGGUAAUUCGACUUCUAAUUCUAGUAAGUUCUUGUUUUAUUGUUCUUUGGUUUAUGAGUUUACUUUAAUCCUCUUCCGGUUGAGUAUUAGAGUAAUCACUUGCUAGCGUAAACGUGGUGUUUAGGCUAGGGUACUCAUAGAUAUCCCCUGACUAGCUGGACCGUGGUAGUAGCGAGGAUCGUGACAUUUCUGAGUUACCUUUGUAUCCCAUAUCUUGUUAGCAAGACGGGUAGGUUUAUAGGUGCGGGUCGAACAUCCUUUGUGUUGUCUAGAUUCCAUGAGCCUCCCCAAUAGAACAGUAGAUCAUCCUUACCAAGGUUAGAAAGAGACUACGGUUGUAGUCUUCUCUAUACAUCACUCACAUCGAGAAACAUUCUUUGUAGCCUAAAGGGAUAGUAGCAAUAGAUUUGGUUAGUCAGAUGCACCCUUUCUCCCAGUGGUAAAAAUAUAAAUACGAUAACUCUGGAUAACCUCCCGGGUGAAAUGCUCACCGAUAUCCGUGCGCUUGCGGGUCAUUUCCUUAUUGCGUUACCAAAUAUCAACAAGCAUUUCUGGCGCCGUUGCCGGGGAGAAAGACGGUUUGCUGAGAUAACUUUGAGUCUUGCUAUUAUCUUGUAUUAUACUUUUAUAUUUUUAUUCUUUUAUCUUUUUAUUUUGUCUAUCUUUAUGGAUAACUUAAAUUCCAUACCUAUUAUUGAAUUCUUUGCACCUUCGGAGACCAGCCAUAGACCAUGGGAGUCAACACGUCCUGCCCCUAAUUAUGAUCUGUGUCCGGAGUUGAUUGCAAUAGGUCAAAACCAACCCUUUUCUAUAGCCGAGGUCCUAUCUUUUAAUGAAGAAGAUAAUGCACUUUUAGCUACACCUAGGGAAUCUGUUAAUCUUUCUAUAAAUUCUGGUUUAGACCUAGCCCUACAAGACCAUGUUUUUCCUAGAUAUUUUCACAUUGGUCUUAAUUAUAUAACCUUUGGUAGAGUUCUUCUUUCUUUGUCUAUUAGUAAAGGAAUGUAUGUCUUCAUUCGUGGACAUCCUUCUUGUACUAGUCUUCAUAGAAAAAUCUUAGAGAUAGAGAAGGAAUCAUCUCCCAUACAAGGAGAGGAAGUUUCAAUAGCCGAUUUCCAAACAUUUCAAUCCCAUAAUUCGGCUAUCCAACCCAUCCUUGAGCUUAAUAAUUUCUACUAUGCUUUUUCUCUUGAACCUCCCGAUAAUCCUAUGAAUCUCUCUAGACAUCCCAUGCAUAAGAAGGAGGAUCGAGAAGAGCAACAUCGAUGGCUAGAGGGCAUUAAAAAUCCACGUGCUAUCACUAUUGAAUGGAUAGAUAAAACAAACUUGAGAGACAAUCCUAGAGGAAUUUUAAGCAUUCAUAAAGAAUCAUCCUUGGAGUUUGAGAAUGAGAGAAACAACAGUGAGCAUGGAAGUUAUUUCAUAAAUACCUCAUCAAGUCCUUGUUCAUAUAAAACAUCUCUCCAAUCAAUUGGUCUCUCCAACCUUACCACAUUUGAGAUCUCCAACCCUCUCUUCCUUUCUAUUUAUAAAAACUUUAAAAGGGCGGUUGUCGAUGCAUAUGUCUAUAAUAAAUAUUACAGAUCUCGUUGAGUUGAUCUUGAUAUAGGUAGGUGUUGGAGGGGAAACCACUUCACCAACAUAACUUGAUGGUUUCCCAAGGACAAGCUUAGUGUCCUAAAACAAGCACCUAUCAGAUUGUGACAUGAACUUCUAAUUAUUUGCAACAUUGCCUUGUGUAUUGAGCAUGUUAAGAUAAUUGUAGAAAUAUUCCUUCGGGUAUUCUUAACCUUUCCAGGACUGGAGCAAGAAGAUCCGAGGAAUGACAAGCACAAGGUAUGUCCAACCAACCAUCAUACAACAUUGAAUUCAUCCAAUCUUGAAUUUUGCAAAAUUCAAGCUUGGGGGAGUACUUCACAUAAAAACAUCCUUUGCCAUGUUGCUAUGUUGGUUGUCCUUACCUUUGAGACAUGCUCAAUUUGUUAAAUACUAAUCACACUACUUCAUCUCCACUUAAGUAGAUCUCUAUAAAUGUCAUCACGCUACCUUUUGUUUAUCCUAGUAAGUGUUAGUUUGGAAGUACUGCACAUACUUCUAUCGGCUUUUAAAUUAAGCGUGGUGCUUAGGUUAAAUAGCCUUCCUUAAUCUGAUUAGACAUGGAGUCUAGUUCGGUUAUUGAACUAAAAACUGCUUGAGUAGAUAUUGGUAUAUUUUGUGGGACUAACCCAUGCAGGAAAACUUUCAAUAUCAACCUGGGAAGUCCUGAGAUAAACUCACAUUGGAGAUGAAGAAAGUGACACAUGAAGUUUAACAGUUUGCACAAGAAAGACGUAGCUCAAAAUAGAUGAUUCAUGGAGGGUGCCACAAACACGAUGCACAACCGCUAAGAAAGGAAAGCUUCCACAAGGUGAUACUGUACCGUCACUCUUCAAGUAAGGUAACAUUUUAAGGUACUUGACUAUCACUUUUAUAAGCUUCUCCUUGGUUCUGGCGUUCACAUAAAAUAAAGAGACAAACAUGUAUGAUCUGUAACUCCAAAUUAACCAACUCAAUUAAUUCAACAUGUUUAGUCCUUUAAUCUUUGUUCUUAGUGAUACCUUCGUGAUCUCACACUCCCAAUCAUAUAAGCUAAAAUGUUGCACAUUCAAUCUUUGGGAAGAUAUAAAGAAAAAAAGACAUAUACAUAGAUAGAUUAUCUUUACAUUAGAUCGAUCAAUCUGAUCUCACAAAUGUUUUAAAUACUACACUCAUGAUCUUAUUAUCCAUCAACUUUGUCUUGCUCACUAUGCUUAAGGUUAGAGAACAACAAUUACACUUCUGGUUCUGUUGGUGUUUUCCACCAACAGGGCCUAUGCACUUGAUCUCUGCCUUGUCUCUAUGAGCAGGAACACUUCGAGCAUAACAUGGAGGAGUUUUACAACUCCCAGAUUCCACCAAGUGAAGAACCGGGAUCUACGAGCACAAACACAUUGGAAAUCAGACACUUAGUUUCCCAAAGGAAAUAUUGAAGAACCUCUGUGUCUGAGUUGGUACCUUGUAUGCUCCAGCAAACUUCGUGGUGAUAGAGACUGGUACUGAGGAGAGGGCACCCAUCAUCUUAGGGAGGCCAUUCCUAAACACCAGAGCUAUCAUCUACGCUAAUGCUGCCAAGAUCAGUUCCUACAUCAAGGGGAAGAAGGAGACUUUCCUUCAAGAACAAGACUACACAAACUUCAGAGCAAUCUUGACAUGAACCAAGGAAGAGGACCAACAGGAGGAACAGGAACAAGCAAAUGUGGACCAAGUCAGCUAAGAUGGUCACUGCAGCUCAAGGAGGUUAAGAUCGUCGACUCAAGUCACCUUUCUUGAUCAAGAAGGACAACCCUGGUGUUCCAAGCAUUGAGUGCACAAUCAAUGGAUACUCUUUUCAGAAGACACUCUACGACACCGGAUCUAACGACAACAUAAUGGCCGCAGUCACUUAUCAGCUCCUGCAUGGAACCAUGCUCCUACAACCAAUAUAUAUUCAGCUCCAGAUGAUUUUUAGAUCAUUGACUUGGGAGAAGACGAGUACGAUCCACCCAUCAUCCUUGGAAGACCAUUCCUCAACACUAUCAAAGCCAUUAUCUAUAUUGGAACCAGAGAAGUCCACAUGCACUUCCCCUCUGAGAAGGUACGCCGCUAUUUUACUGACCCUAACUAUAUAGUUGAACACUCUAAACAGGUCAGGACAAGAAGAAGACAACGCAACCGCAACCGCAACUAGAGGAGGCAAAUCAUCAAGGAUGGAUGGGUAGACUACGAAAGAGAAGUGAUAAGGUCUGAAGACAUACAACUUGAACAGAACUAUCCUGAGGAGACUGUAGCACCGAGUCAGGUGUGGAGAGAGAAGUUAGUUAUACACGAAGAAGAGGCGCCACCGGAAUCACCGACUACGCCACCUAGCGAAUCCCAGGACGACUGAAAACACAAGGAGUCCCGUUCGGAGGACUUAAAAACACCGAACGCCUUGCGAAGAGGUAAAUUUGGUAGUUAUCCUUUUCCUUUCAAUUAUUAUAGUUUGCUUAGUUAAUCAGGUUCAUGCUAUCUUGAAAAGAAAAUAAAAAUGUUAAAAAAUAGUAAGCCCCAUGUGAGUAUGCUCAUGGCAUAAAACCCAUAAGUACAUUCACUGUGGUGGCAUAAAAAUAAAAUAAAUGAGUUUUCAUCUUACAAUAAAAAUAUAAAAAUAAUAAGUGCAUGAUCCUGCUAAAUAAGUAAUAUUUAUUGAGGAGGCUCAACAUGAUAAAGGCUAGAUAAUUAUGCUAACACUUAACCAGUUCCACAAAGCUUUGUUGUCUAUUUGAGCUCUACAGAAUUUAAGAAUCAAGAAGACUAGCAGACGGAGGACAUUCUAAUCGCUGUCAAAAUGCUGCUGACUUUCAAAUACACCUCUGCCACCUGCUAGCUACAUUAGAAGAAAUUAUGUCAAAAUCUAGCUUAGGAGAGAGCACCCCCAUUUAUCCAGCUAAGUAUUUCUACUCGCGUUUAUACUUUACUCAAAUGAUAAAAGAUGCAUAAUCAUGAAAACCCAAAUAAAGAUUUUGUGCUUUUAUAUAUAUCUUUGCUUAGUUUGCUAAAUAAAUAAAUAAAUAAAUAAAGUUUGCUAUGAACCCUCAUGAUAAACUCUCACAUGGAAAUGAUGAAUAGUUGCUCUGCCAUGACUAGUUCUUAAAAUUGAAAUCUCUCUCAAGUUUUGGCAUGACUGUUAUGAAGUAAGAUUUGCUCUAAACCUAAACUUGUGGGAAGAGUACCUGAUCACAAGUCUAAGUUGUUAACGGAUAUGAUAUGGGAAGGUUGAGCUGCUGUUUAUCUGUUCCUAGAGAUGCUAGAAUUAUGGAGAAUUUUAUCUUUGAAAAAUCUUUAAAAUAACACAUGAUGAGUUCCUGUAUGAUGAGAGUUUAAAAUCCUACCACAGCCAUAUAUACAUGCUUAUUAGACUUUGAGCCACACAUUUACUUUUUACUGCUUAUGAGCAUUGAGUGUGGUCAAGCUGUGUAGACCCUAGGAGCUUGUCAUGUGGUUAAAAUCAAGAUUCACUUGCACGUUCACUCAUACAUGCUACUUCUACUCCGGAAGUACCAUCCACAUAUAUCCACUCAUUUCCAUCUCCACAUUCACCCGAAAUUAUUCUACUCCUAAUCCGGGAGAGAAUAGCCAAAAAUAUUUUCCUAUCCCUGUUAUUCCGUGUGAAAUAAAUGCUUGAGUUAUCUUGGUUACUACCACUUGCUAUAUUAUCUCAGGAGAUGAGUGCUCUAAAAAAAAUACGAGGAAAUAAAAAGGGGCAAGUGCCCGGAACCUCGAAGAAAAGAAAACGUGAGACGAGAGGUAAAAAUGGACAAGUGUCCGACAGUAGAAUUAGGGGUACAAGAUACCCACCUGAGAGGAAAGAAAAAAGAAAAUGUAGAGCAUCUCAUUCUCCCAAAAAAAAGCUUCAAAGUGCAAGAAAGGUAUGUAUCCCCUCAAAAGAGCAAAAGUAGAAUUGGACUUUCACCAUUAUUAUCACCAUCAUCACCAUACACCAUUCAUUCGCCACACAUGCACAUCUUGAUUUGACUUAUUGACUUGUUUCUCUAGAUCCAUGAUUUGACUAUGCAAUAAAUGUCUUGUAAGUAUGUAUUAGCUGUCUCCCACCUAUGAGCUCCAGAUAUCAGAACCUUAUUAGAGUAGGGUGAGAGAGAAGGCAAUAUCACUAUGCCUCAUACCAAAAAUACCACAUACUUUGAGAGAAGGCAUGUACCAUUACUGCCUUGGUAAGGAUCCAGAAAUACCACAAAAGAGAGAUCUGAGAGAGUCAUAUAAGGAAUCUCUGAGUUUUAUUUGAAAAAUCUGCAAAAACUCCAAAGCUAUAGCUGAUCAAGAAUAAGAGACAUGGCGCUUGACUUGACCGUUCUAUCUUUUAACUGC
rnacentral:lncRNA from 1 species